rnacentral:lncRNA from 1 species
UACAAAGAAGUUCUAAAAGACUACAAGAAAGAGUUUCCACUAAAGAAAAACAAUGAAACCAUUUCUACUAAAGACAAACAAUGAAACCACAGAUGCUUUGUGAAAUAUGUACCCGCACAAUCCAACAAACUUUAGAAAUUCACAAACACUACCUAGAAUUUUUGCUGACCAGCAAAAAAUUUAUGCAAUUUAAUUCUUAUUGUUAUUAUUAUUUUCAAUGUGAACAAAUAUGAUUGAAUUAUGAAGUAUUUGGCCAGAAGAGGAUCUUGCCUAAUUAUAGUCAUUAAACAACCAUUUAUACCAUAGCCUCUAGACUUUAAAAAGUUUAUAAAACUCAAGGGCUUCCACCCAAUUUCUAGAUAUCUCCAUAACAUUCUUCUGACUAUUAGAAAGCAAUUACCACUUUAAUUUUUCAUUUCAUGAGUGUUCAAUUCAGAAAAAGACCAGGAUCGAACUUGCGAUCAUGCAGUCGAAAAUCCACCUGUGCAUGAAACUAUUGCCUCACGAUUGCAAACUCAAGUUGGAGUCCAGUAACAACUCUAGGUUUGCUGAUGUGCUCCAUUUGAAAUAAAGGAACUAAAGAAUACUUUAUAAAGAUUAAUUACCUUCAUAUUUUAGGUUGGGGUUAAGGCAAAAUGUGAUAGAUUGAGAGGAAGAAAAUAUAUCUUGUUCAGGAAGCCAAUAUUUUGGAGUUCACCUUUCCAUUCGAGUCCACUCUGCUAUAGCAAAAUCAGAGUCACAACUAUGCCUCUUUAAGCUAUCCUUUAAUUGGAUGAAUUGCAGAUUUGGUUGCUGAGAAAGUGGAUAAGAAAGAAAAAUGCAUACUGUAGCUUGAGAUUAAGAGUUUGUUUUCUAAAAUGAGAGAAAGGGAAAGAGAAAAAAUGCAUAUUGUAGCUUGAGAUUAAGGGUUUGUUUUCUAAAAUGAGAGAAAGGGGAAGAGAAAUGUUCGACAACUUUGAGAUGACAAAUUUUUAGAUUUGGAAAAUUUGAGAUGAGUCUCAGGUUUUUUUUUUUUUUUUUUUGUCUUUGUCUUUGUUUUUUUUUUUUUUUUUUGUUUUUUUCCCAAAAACAACCUGUUAAUGUGGUUGUUGACAUAGAAGUGGGUGAGGGCAAAAUGGGCAUAGAAAAAAGAGUCAACACAAAGUGCACAAAACCCAUAUUAUUUUCCACAUUAAUGACUGAUUCUCAUAUUUCUUGUUCUUGGGAUUUGAAAACCAUAUUAUUUGCAAAUGGACCUCCCAAAGCACAGGUUUCCCUUAGUUUUAUGUCUCCAUCUACAUUUUACAUAUAAAUAGAUUAUUUUAUAAAAUUUGUUUUGUAGAUAUAUUAGUUAAUAAUUAUAUAAUUAAUGAUAUAGAAAACAUAUAAAAAUCAUAUUUAAAAAAGAUAAUUACAUAUUCCUCAACAAUCCAUCCCAAGAAUUCGAGGUUGAGUUGAAAACAUGUAGAGUCUUUGAUGUUAUUAUAAUCAUAUCCAACACAUAUGAUUAUUGUUUAUGAGAUAUUAUUAGAAAGUUUGUCUUAAAAUAAUUGAUUUAUUACCCACCUUUAGCAAAUGCCCAUUUUUGCGUCUUUCAAAAUUUUCAUUUUUUUUUUGUUUAAAAGAAGUAUUGUAAAGAAUGAUGAAAUAAGAAAUUUGUUGAGAAAGUGUGAGUAAAUAAUUUUACAUAAAAAGAGAUUUAAUACUUGAUAAAUAAAAUAAUAAAAUCAUGAUUUCUAGUUGUAUAGGGCCGGGUGGAUGGAGUGGCUAAGAUGUAAUUCUUGAAAUAGAGGAGACAACAUCAAUGUAUAAAAGUUUAACAGAGAAGGAAAGUGUGUUUGAAUGACUUUAUUUUCUUCAUUUAAAGUUUUGACGAUGAGUGUUUAUACAAGAUAAAUUUUCAAAUGAUAGGACUCCUAUUUACAUGGAGUUUGUGAUAUACUAUGAUUAUACAAAUUUAAAAUUCAAACAGAUUCAUGAGUUGAUAGGAGUCUGCUCAAUACGCCCCUUCAAAAUGGUGGGAGAUAGCACACCAAUCUUGACUCGAAGGGCCUAAACUCGUGCAGAAGAUGAGGGCUUUGUUAGAGCAUCGACAAGUUGAUCCGUGGUUGACAUAUGGGACACCUUGAGCUCACCUGAUUAAACCUUGUUUCAAACAAAAUGAAAAUCAAUCGCCGAUGUGUUUCAUGGAGAGUGAAACAUGGGAUUUGCACAAAGAUAUGUUGCACCCACGUUAUCACAAGAGAUAGGAGGUGGUGAUAAAUUUGAAACACUAAGUUUUGAGAGAAGAGAAUUAACCCAAAGAACCUUUGAGGCUGUAGAGGCCACGACGUGAUAUUUCGCUUCAGUGGAAGAGCGUGCUAUGAACUUUUGUUUCCUCGAUGACCAAUACACAAGAUUGUGACCAAGAAAAACAAUGGGAGCAUUGGUGGAGGAUCUGACAUAAGGAUUCCUUGCCCAUUCAACAUUCGAAUAUGCAUGUAGAUUGAUGGGCGAUUUCUUAUGCAAGAACAGACCAUGCACCAUUGUGCCGACUAAGUAUCUAAGCAAUCUUUUAACACAAGACCAAUGUGUUGAUGUUGGAUGGUGCAUAAAUUGAGAUAAUUUAUUCAUCAAGAAGGUGAUGUCAGGGCUAGUAAGAGAGAAGUAUUGAAGGCUUCCAACAAUUGACAUAUAUUUAGUGGGACCAGGAAAAGAGGUGUCAUCACACAGAUUUGGAACAUUGUUGAGGAACAUCAAUGAUUGAACUGGUUUGGUAGCCACCAUUUGUGUUUUCUUAAGAAGCUCUCGAAUGUACUUGAGAUAAAAAUAAUCCUUUGGAAGUAUGUAUCAUUUCAACACCAAGAAUAAAAGAUGAAGUCCUGAGAUCCUUAAUGGAGAAUUUGACUGCUAAUUGAGAGAUCACGCGAGCACGAAAAACAUUAUUGUUACUUGUUAAAAUAAGAUCAUCAAUAUAAAUAAGUAGGUAAACAAUGAGACCACUCUUUUUAAAAAUGAAGAGGGAUGUCUCGGUUUAGGAGUUGACGAAGGCUAUUGAGAGGAGAAAUUGGCAAAGUUCAUGAUACCAUGAUCGUGGAGCUUGUUUAAAGCCAUAAAAAGCCUUACAAAGUUGGCAAAUGUGAUGAUGUGUGUAUUCGUGAACCCAGGAGGUUGAAUCAUGUAAACAUCUUCAUGAAGUGUCCUAUGCUAGAAUGCAUUAUUAAUGUCCAAUUCAUGAGUUGAUAGGAGUCUGCUCAAUACAAUGUGGGAGUGUGAUUUCAAAAUUAGGGUAAUUUCGAAAUGGAUUUUGUAUUCACAAGUUGAAUUUCAAAAUUAUUUUGAAAUGGUCUUUUAACUUUAAGCAGUUGUGUUCAAAAGGUCAUAACUUCUUCGUUUCAAUUUUGAUUUACACAUUGUUUAAAACAUUGGACUCUUUACUUCCCGAGCUUCAAAACGAUAUAUAGUAUGCUCAAAAAUGACAUCAGGAUUGGUUCAAAUUUCAUCUUGAUAUUAGAGUACAUGUUGUGAUUAGAUUUUGAGUUCCAAAUUUCCAUGUAAACUUGAUUGCAUUUGCUUCAAACCUCCUUCAUUAUGGUUGCUUGCCCUCUAUCUCACUUUGCAACAUUUGUUACUAGUAUUUUAUGUCCAUGACUUACUCAUUUCAACCUUUCUUGGAUUCUUCAUGGUUCACAAAUUAUGGAUUCUUCAUGGUUCACAAAUUGAGUCUUUCAAUUAUGCAUGUUUAACUCCUAUUUCCUUGGUUGAUAAUGACUUUUACACUUAUCAUUUUCUUUUAUUCUUUAAACCUGAAUUUAGACUUACAAAAAAAAGUUAGAUCCAUAACUAGGGUCUUAGCAUCAAUUUGAGUUAAGUUGGAUGAUUUGAAAAUUUUAUAUUACAUAAAUCAUAUCAUACAUGUGCCAUUGGAGUGCACAUUUUGGCUCUAAUCAUGUUCCAACCCAUUGUUUUACUCUUGCAUGAAGUAUGUGGCCAUUGAUUUUAAUUUUAUUUGCGAUUAGGUUCAAAAUGGUGCUUUUGUGUUGCUCAUGUGUCAUCAGAAGAUCAACUAAUGGAUUCUCUAACAAAACUACUACAUCAUAGUCAUUUUUUUUUUUCUUAAGACCAAGAUUGAGAUCUCCAAUCGGAGCCAACUCCAUCUUGGGGGCAUGUUAGUGAAAGAUAAAAUUUAUCUUUAAUUUAAAUAUUAAUAUUUAUCAGUUAUUAGUUUUAAUUAGAGUAAAAGAUAGAGUUUAAAUUGGAGUAGGAGAUAAACUUGUGUUUGAACUAGAAUAGAAGAUAAAGUAUAAAGAUUUAUGUUUGAAUUAGAAUAAAAUAUAAAGUUUGAAUUAGAGUAGAAGAUAAACUUGUUCUUUAUUUGUAUAUAAAUAUUCAUCAAUUCUUGAGAAGAAGAUUAUUUCAUAGUUUUUCUAUCUUCUUUUUUCUUCAUACAUAUCUGCAAGAAAUUGAAGAUUUCAAGUAAAAUAUUUUCUGUUUUAAAUAGUGAAAAAAGCUAGAAAUUCACUUUGUUAUCUCUUGGGGUAAAUUGACAAGGUUUAACGUUAAGAAGGUGAAUUAUUUUUUCAGAAAAACUGAAGUAGCUAGGAUAUCUGGCCAGUUGUGAUCGAUAAAAAAGUUGUAAAAUCUCUCAUAUACUAAACAGGUUUUGGAUGUUGGUAUGGUAAAUCCAUCUGCAGUCAUUCGUCAUCUCAUCUAGUGAGAUGUUUGGGAGGUGGUGACCGCCGGAUUGGGUUUCAUUUGGUUAAAUCUGUCAGUGGGUUGGCUACUACCCGAGCCUCUUGCUUUGGGGGAGGUGGGUUCUAGAUAUAAUGUUCAAACCAUUUUAGUUAUCAUAUGCAUGACAUGUAAGCAUAAUCUCUUUAUCACUUCUUCAAUGGGAGUUCAUGGUUAGGAAUUGACUUCUUUUCUUCUGGGAUGCUUGGCAUGUAAUGGACAAAGUUACUUUUAUAUCGAUCGAAUUUCUAGUAUUAUAGUGAAGACUUACCCUUUUGACAUUUUAUAUCGAAUUAUAGAAGAUGAAAGGGACAUACAUGCAAUCGACUGACGCUUUAGUGAAUAUGCUGAAAAUAUGCUGAUGCUGUGGAGAUCGUAUGAGGACAGAGGAAAAAGAUAGAAAUGGAUAUAUAAUUAGACCUAGGUUUUUAUUAAAUGAGAUGGGGAACAUAGAGUGAGGGAAAAUCAAAAUUUUUGGCUGCAGUUCACAUUGGUGAUAUUUUGGAUUGACAAAGACUAACGACUUUUCUAUUUUUCUUUUCGGCCUGACUGGAUAGUUGGACAUGGACAAUACAGAAUCCACAGAAGGAUUGUUGGGACCGCUGAAAAUUAGCUAGAAGAAGCUGAGGAAGUAGUCUACGUAGUCAAAUACCAAACACAAAGAAAGAAAGAAAUGGAUAUCAUGGAUGCCUAGAGUUAUACUCCUAAUACCGUCACAGGUAUUUUUCUUUCCUCCUUUUUUUUUCUACGAUAAUUAGAGCAUUUCUCCUCCUCCUCCUCCUCCUCCCCCCACCCCACCACCAAAAAAUAAAAAAAUAAAUUAUUGCAAGUAACACUUCAAAUAUUAAUUUAUACAUUCUAAAGUAUAUAUUCAUGAAAUAACUUGAGUAUCAUACAUUAGUUCUCAAAAAAAAAAAAAAAAAAAAAAAAAAAUUACUGGAAGAGAAAAGUUUAAGAAAACAUAAAAAUAUUCAACUACUAUUUUAAAGAGAAAAUUUAAUUUUUACACUAUAAAUUUGAAGAGAACUUUUACAUGCAUCUUAUAUAAACUACCAUUUUUUGCUAAAAGGCUUAAAUUUGUCAAAAAUACCCCUUAGGUGCUUAACGUUCUGGUCAUAAUAUAAUUGGCAUCUUUUCUCAAACAUAAGGCCUGUGUGUGGGAACAAGAUUUAAUGUUAAUGAGCUUCGCCACCGACAUUUAGUUCCAGAAAUCAUUAUUUUAAUAGAGUGGGCUCAAUUUACAACUUUAAUUAAACUCUAACCAACUGCAUUGUGAAAUGAAUAUGUUUCUUUCGUGGUGAAUCCAAUGAGUUGGGAGUCAAACUUUGCUUCAUUGUGUAUAGAUGAAAUGUUAAGACUCCAUGUAACCUCAAACAUUUCCGCAAUNNNNNNNNNNNNNNNNNNNNNNNNNNNNNNNNNNNNNNNNNNNNNNNNNNNNNNNNNNNNNNNNNNNNNNNNNNNNNNNNNNNNNNNNNNNNNNNNNNNNUUCUUUCGUGGUGAAUCCAAUGAGUUGGAGUCAAACUUGCUUCAUUGUGUAUAGAUGAAAUGUUAAGACUCCAUGUAACUCAAACAUUUCCGCAAUGAGCGGGAGUUCUAAAUUUAAUAAUUGAAAUUGUCAGUGGAACCAGUGGACAAGAGUUGGUUUGUGGUUGACAAACUUAUCCGUUUGAUCUUUACUUGAACAGUUCCAGUGUGUGGAUGGGUACUGAUGAAGUGUGCGCAUUUAUUUUGAGAAGCCUGCUUGUUCGCAUAGAUUUUAACGACAUGAACAUUGUGGUAAGGUUAGAGAGUAAUGCGAAUGUAGGAGCUUAUAUUAGAAAUGACACAAACACGUAAAUAGAAGUAAUCUAUAUAUGAUAUUACUCAUGGACUACAAGCAAAGAAGUACAAUACAUGGAGUAAGUGAUGAAAUGAGCAUUCCUCACUACUACUGCUUGACUGAUGGAACAUGAUGCACGAGAUAGCAUAAGUAGUAGUAGGAAGCAGCUCUUAUUUGUGGCGUCGGUAUACAUCAUACUAGGUAGAUGGUUCAAUUGGCAUGGAUGGGUGGUGGAGCCUUGAAGUGCUUGUGAUGGGGAGCCCACGGCUUCUUCUCAGGAGUUGGUGGCUUCUUGUAUGGAGUUGAUGGAGGUGUUUCUACUGGAGGGUGGCCAGGGUAGUGACCCUGGGGUGGUGAAGGUUCUUUUGUCGGUGGUGGCCUCACUAUUAUUGGCGGUAGAGUUGGUGGCUUGGGCGUUGGCGGUGGUCUCACUACUCUUGGGGGUAGAGUUGGUGUCUUGUGUUUUGGUGGUGGAGGUGGCUUAACAGGAGUUGGUGGCUUGUAUUCUGGGGGUGGUUUCUCCACCGGAGGUGGCUUAUAAACUGGAGUUGGUGGCUUGUAUUCUGGGGGUGGCUUCUCCACUGGUGGUGGCCUGUAAACAGGGGUUGGUGGCUUAUAUUCUGGGGGAGGCUUCUCCACUGGAGGCGACUUAUAAACAGGGGUUGGUGGCUUGUAUUCCGGGGGUGGCUUCUCUACGGGAGGUGGCCUGUAAACAGGGGUUGGUGGCUUCUCCACCGGAGGUGGCUUAUAAACGGGGGUUGGUGGCUUGUAUUCUGGGGGUGGUUUCCCCAGUGGUGGAGACUUGUAAACAGGAAGAGGUGGUUUGUGCUCAUAUGGGGGUGGCUUGUGGUCAUUAGCAAGUGAGGGAGUGGUGAGGACCACCAAUCCAAGGAACAACACGAGUGAGCAAGCAGAAGACAUGUUUGGGCUCUGGUGAUGCACAAGUAGAAGAAAUGGGAACCAUUUAUAAUGCUUCGAGACCUUGGUUAGCACCAAAAUAUGUCAAAAUCUUGAUUACUUCAUUUCAUACAUAGAUUUAAAAUUAUUUCAAUCAACCAUGAUCCUUAAUUUUCUGGGUGGUCCAUAAAUGUAAUGGGGUCAAUUUGGGACCUAACAAGCUGAGAAGUUUGACAAUGCUGCAAGGCUUCAUCCGAAAGUCCGGGGAAGAAUAUUAGGAGUUACACUCCGUUUCCUUUUUUGGGUGCAUUUUUCUCCUUUAACAUUCUAUUCCCUUUUACAUUAGCAUUUGAUCUUAGCUCAUUUCAAGUACAAGUUUCUUGAACCCUAUACCAUUGUCAAAGUUGAGUAACCAUCUCUACUUUGCUCAAGAAACAUAAAAGACAAUGACAAUAAAGAAAAAGGAGAGAGACCAUACGUGACUUGGUUUAUAGGUGGCUUUGUGUUGACAUUUGAGUAUGGAAGCCGACAUGCAUCUUAGCUUCGAUUUUAAUUAAAUUUGUACAUUAGUGUCUGUGUCAUUCAUUUUGGUAUAAAAGGUCUCUUGAUUUCGUAAGUUUGGUAAGAACCGUUGAAAAUAGCAGUAGCAGCACAUGGUCCACUUUCUUUCACAAAAUAAUUUUAAAAGUUUAGAAGCAUAGGAGGUAACAUUAGUGGCCUUGUGGCUCAGCCACGAGUACUAUGUGGUGCUCGAGAAAUUGAGUUUAAUUUCCUUCCGAUAGUUCAUGAUAAGGUCCGUCACUGUCCUGAGACAGAUUGCGUUUUUUCUUUUUUCCUUUUUUAGUGUUUUAUUGACUAGCUAGGUGUGACUUUUCCUACUUUAAGGCACGAGGCAGAAAAGAAACUGGGAUUUAGUGCUUAAGAAGGCAAAUUUAAUUCGAUUUGGAUCUAAAAUUUGCCAGCAACAUGAGAUUUUCCAGCCUAUCGUUGCUCCACAUAUAGACAAGGCACUUGUAGAAGUGGCUUGUUUGUAGCCAUUCCCGAUAUUUGGACUCACUUGAUUCACCGGACACUUUGAUAAAAUUUAAUAUUUAUUAUUUAAUAAUUUAAAUUGAUUUAAAAUUAAAUUAUACCGAAGUUGUGAUUUAAAAAUUAUUAUUUAAUUCUUACUUUUAAAUAUGAAGAUUAUUUGAUAAAAAUAAUUUAAAAUUUAUUAUAAAUUAUCAAAUUAACAUAUUUAUCCUUAUAAAUUAUAAUUAAAACAGAAAAGGUCAAAUGAUUUGAGUAUCCAUAGAUGUGGUAAAAUAAUAAAAAAGAUUAUAAAAACAAUUAUGAUAAAUAAAGAUAAAAAGUAAAAUGAAUAUGUGAAUUUAAAGAAUAAAUUAAUUAUUUUUAUUUAUUACUUAAAAUUAUUUUUGACUUUAAAUUAUAUUAUUAAAUUAUUUUACCAAACAUACUUAAUUUAGUUAAUAAUUUAAAUUUAAUUUAAGUUAUUAAAUUGAUUCACCAAAUACCCACUUAAUCAAAGACUGAAGUAUACAUUAUUUGGCCAAAUGCAGCUAUUGAAAUUUAACUUUUUCCAAACUUAUUCAUUUUGUGGAAAUAUUUUUAGAAAUGAUUUUAAAAAUGCACUAUUCUGUGUGUUGAUUUUAUAUUUUGGCAUUAAUCCAACAUAGAAAACGGUUCUUAUUUUCGCUGUUAAAUAGGUACCAGAUCCUUAAUUAGUGCCGUGAAUCCGGCAGCUUCCAAUGAGUAAUUUGGACUUGGGUAUUGACAAUGUGUGGCCAUGCUUCUACUAUUUUAUUAUUCUUGAAACAUAUAUGAUAUAUUGGACUUUAUACAGGGAAAAAAAAAAAAAAAAGUCUUCACCAAAAAUGAUUCCUCCUAAAAAAUAGACUCCACAAACUAGGUUUAACAGGAAAAUGAUUCUAAUCUAGUAGUUUCCAGCCACAUGAGCAUUUACGUAACAAUAGUAUAGUUGAUAACGACUUUUAUUUUAUUUAUUUUUAAAUAGUUAAAGGGAUAAUUUUUGAGCUUAAAUUUUAUUUUUUUAUUUAGAAACAUUUUACUUUAUUUUUUAAUCAUAAUUCUAUUAUAUUAAUGUUUUAUUUUCUAUUUUUUAAUAUAUAAGGAGAUACUAAAUUUAUGUGAUUAUUUUUUAAAAAUUUAGUAUAUGAAAUUAAAUAAUUGGAUAUAUAUACAUAUAUCAUAUAAUGUUUUUUAAGUGUGAUUUUUGAACUUUUUAGUCAUUUUAUAAGUUUAAGCUUUUGAUUUUUUUUUUUAAACUUUGGUAUUUUUUAUUUUAUAUAAAACUAUUUUGAUUUAAUUUUAUUAAAAAAUAUUGGUAUUAUAAAUUAUUGUAUUAAUUAUUUUUUUAUAUUAUAAUGUAACUGGUAUAUACUAAAAAAUGUAUGCAAGUUCAAUUUAAGUUUCAAAUUAAAAAAUUUCAUUUAAAUAUUUAAUAACUUGUUCAUAAUAAAAAAUUAAACAACAUAAUACAAAUGAAAAGAAACAUAAAAGAAAAAGGAAAAAAUGGUCCUCUCUGUGUGUCACAUUACUAGGUCAUCCUCUUUUUCUAUGACCCUUACAAUAGAAUGGCAUAUUUGUCAAAUCUACUUAUGAAAGUUGGAAUGUUUCUACAUGUGUAGGGUCCAUUGGAACUAAUGGAGGAAAGGCUUAACGUCUAUGUAAAUCACAACGUUGCCUAGGUGGGCAUAGAUCUAGUUGUGUAACAUGAGAUGGUGUGAGAGUACAAUAUAUGCAUUGUAGUCUCUAUGGGAAGAGAGAUAGGUAAUGGUAGGGUGGUAGACGGUAGGGUGAUCUCUAAUAUAAUGACAUUUGAUGUGGUGGCUUCUAAGAGAGGAGAUAUAAGAGAUGGUAGAAUGACAUUUGGUGUAAUGGUCUCUAGUGCAAUGACAUGUGAUAUGGUGACCUAUAAAGAAGAGAUAUAGGUGAUGGUGAAGUGGUAUGUGGUGUAGUGACCUUUGAGAUAGAAAAUAGAGGUAAUGGUAGGUUGGCAGGUGGAGUGGUCUUUGGUGUAGUGACAUCAAUUAUAAAUGUCUCCAAGGGAGGAAAUAAAGGUGAUGGUAGGUAGUAAAUGUUGAGGUGGUCUUUGAUAUGUUAUGCUCUAAGAGAGAAGGUAUAGGUAAUGAUAAUAGGGAAUUUGACAUAGUGGUGUUGGAAAUAAAAAGUGAAAGUGACCGUAGAGGUGAAAGGGCAAGUGUAAAAGCCUCAAGUACGAAUGGAGUAAUUAAUGUGGAUGGUGCUAACAUAGUCUUAGGUGGAUACACAAAUAGUCAUAGUCAUCAACUAGCUUGCCCACCAUCUGUCUUUCUGCUAGUGAUAGGUUACAUCUUAAUAGUAAUGGCCAACAUAAGUGGUGUGGAUCCGAUUUUUUUACGUGUGUCCCCACUCAAUCGACAAGACUUAUUUUUUAUUAGUGAAAAAUUAAUUUUGGAAAAGUUGGAGUCACCACUUAUUUUAUUUUAUUUUAAAAAGGAAAGUAAAACAAGAAAGAGAACUCUAAAGAAGUGACUUCAUAGUUUUGGAAAAGUUAGUCUUAAAAAAUCCAAGUCUUGGUCCGGAGAUCAGGUUACUUAUUGGGAAGAUACCUCUAAGAGGUAAUACCCCUCUAAACCCUAAAGAAGUCUCUAAUGACUAAGUUGAGGAGAAUGUGGUAAUUAAUUAAUUGAUUGAGGGUACCUAGGUAGACUAAGGUGAUUUCAGAAUUAACAUACCAAGCUAGAAAGUCCAAUCAUGAUCAUAAAAGAGAGUCAAAGUAUGUACCUGAACUGCUUCUCAAACGCUAUCAUAAAACAUCAAAGUUAGUAUAGAAAUAUAACACAUAAUAUUUGUUUUAUCCAAGCAAAUAAAGCAUACAUCUAAGCACCCAAGAAUCACAUCAAGUAUGGAUAUAGUCAUCAAUAGCAUACGUGUCCAUAGAACUAUCGAAAGUAAAUGUGGAGGAGCGUAUCUGGACAACAUAGAUAACUUAUAAUGUGCUUCCACAAGACAUGGGGGUUAGAUAAAAGUUAUAAUAAUAAUUAGUAAAUGAAAGAAUUCUAGCAUGUUUGGUAUCUAAAUAACAUAGCAAAAAUGAACAAGAGUACACGAAAACAUCAAUUAUCACACGAGUCAUAUUGGCUAGUAUUUAAUCAAUAAACCAACAAUAAAUGACUAUAAACAUAUAAAAUGACAUAUUCAAAGAGACCCAAACAUAAAGAGCCUAGAACACAAGCUUACACUAAAUUUAGAAAACUAAAACAUGGAAUUUUAAAAGCAUAAAUUAGCAAACAAAUUGAUGGAAACUAAAUUUAGAUAACUUAAGAAUAUUUUUCUUAUCCUUCAAUUUAAAUCAGUAAGCCAACAAUAAAAAAUUAUAGAAACAUGGAAUAUCAAGAUCAAUGGGAUACCUAAACUAUAAUUUUUAAAAGAAAAUAAACUAAGCAUAAUAUCUACAAAGCAACUAAACUAACAUUUUUUUAAAAAUAAAUUAAACAUGACAUUAAUGGAGUAACCAAACUAAAUUAAAGUAAACUAAAAACAUUUAUGAAUUUUCAAACAUGGAAUCAGCUUUCUUAGUAAAUUAAAAUUAUUAAAAUAAAAUCUAAGCUUAAAAAUGAAUUAAAUACUAACUAAAGCAAAUCUAAAACCAAAUAUUUAACACAUAGGAUCAAUUAUAUUAACAAACUAAAAUUUUAUAAGAACACUUAAACCUAAAGUUGAAUUAAAAACUAACCAAUUUUUAAAACUAGAUCUUUAACCCAUAGGAUCAAUUAUAUUAACAAAUAAAUAAUAAAUAAUAAAUAAAUAAAACUCAAACCUAAAGAUGAACUAGAAAUGUACCAAAGUAAAUUCAAAACAAGAUCUUUAACACAUUAGAUCAAUUAUAUUGACUAACUAAAAAAAAAAAAAAAAAACACUCAAACCUGAAACGAUGUAUUAGAAACUAACCAAAGCAAAUUUAAAAUAGAGUCUUUAACACAUAGGAUCAAUUAUAAUCACUAACUUAAAUUACAAUUUUUGAAACAUGAACUAAUUAGUGUUGGAUUAAUUAAACUAAUUAACUAAAAAAAACUAUAAACUAGAAUACGGUGAAUCAAGAAUUCAAAUCAACAAACAUAAAAUAUGGGUACAAUGAAAUGAAAAUCUAUUAAACUAAUAAGACGGAAAUAUGACAAACUCAUGAACCCACAUUUUGAUCAACUAGGAAAUAGAAAUUAAUAGACCUGUAGCAUGGAUACAAUGAAAUGAGAUCAGUUAAAUUUAUUUGCCGAAAUUCUAAAAAACACAUACACUCAAAUAAGAUCUAAAUCUAAGACCAAGCAAAACUCAAACUUUCUCAAUCUAAUGCAAUGAAUCAAAACUAAAAUUAAAUAGAAAUCAAACCAUUUUUUUUUUAUCUAAUAUAAUAAAUCAAAGCUAAAACUAAACAAAAUCGAAUUUUCUUAAUUUAAUAUGAUGAGUCAAAGCUAAAAUUGAACAAAGUUCAAACCUUUAUAUAAUGGAUCAAAGUUAAAUCUAAAUGAAAUCCAUACUUCCACAAUUUGAUAUAACAAAUCAAAAAUAAAACUAGAUAAAAAAAAAGUCAAAGCCUUUCAACUUGACAUAGUGAAUCCAAACUGAAACGAAACAAAAUUUUAACUUUUCCAAUGAAACCCAAUAUAGAAAAAAUUAGCUUACCUUCUUUAGAAUAUAUGUAUGGGCCAUAAAGAAGUCACCUUGGUGCAUGUGUUCCUCACUUUGACGCCAAUGGACGACUUUCUAUGGUAGCAAAUGGAGAUCCUUUUUGGUGGUAACUUGCGUGUGGAAACCUAUGGUACAACCAAUGUCAUCUUUUAUUGUGCGUGUGGACCAAUUUCUUCUCGAGAACUCAUGUGUGUUGUGCUCAAAAUAUGUUGCCUGUGAGAAUCUAUUGGUAUACCCCACAUAUGGUUUCCUUGAGAGAAUCUGUGGUUGUGUGUGGGCGUUUUCUUCAUGACAGCAUGUGGAUGUUCCCAUCUAUGGUAGAUUGGUUGUGAUGCUUUAGUGCAUGGUCUCCAUAGGAAUAGUGUGUUAUGGAAAUUUGGUUUUUUUAUUGGUGCAUGUUGUCUAGACUUUCCCAUAUGCGUGGACUGUGUGUUCAUGCUUUUCUUUUCGGAUGGUCGCCUGUGUUAAUGUGUGGCGGUGUCUACAAUGAAAGAUACAACCCUUUCUCUCCUUCUGCGUGAUAGAAAAGUCAAUCCCCCAUGGUGCGACUAUGUUCCCUCGUCCUUUUUGAAAAAUUUUGGUGUUUUCCCCCCAAAAAAUCCCCUCCAAAAAUCUAAUUAUAAAUGUCUGCUUUGGCCUAAUGUGUGUGCUACUUUUUUUUUCCUUCUUUUUAUGGUUGUGCGUGCUUUUCUUGAUACGUGGCUUAUUUCUUAAGGAUAUGAUUCGCUCCCAAUUGGUGUCUCAGCUGAUUCAUGUCCUUUCAAUGGUCCCUGACAGUGGUGCCAUUUGAUUCGUGUCCAGCUGGUGUCCCUUGAUUGUGGUCCUCAGAAGGGAGUAAUCAAUAAAAUUUAUAACCUAUUACACCAUGUAUUAGGAUAGCCUUAGCUAGCAUAGCAUAGUGGCUCUAGGGUCGUUUAUUGGGAUGAGUUUUCACUUCACAAUUGAUAUUAAUUCAAGAGCUGAAUUGGUGCCUUUUCAUUUCAAGGUUAGCUUUAAAAGAAAACAUAAUCUUUGGUGGAAAAAGGUUUGGUUUUAAACUAACCAAAAAUAGUAACUGAUUUUACUUACAAAGAAAAGUGUUCUUUGGAGUUUAGAUCACUAGGCUCAGGUUCCUCAUACAAAAAGGAGAGUUCCGAUCAUUUGUUUCUUUUCCUCGCAUUAGAGAAUUAACAUAUAGUUAAUUCUCUAACCGGUGCGGUACAUAUGCUUCCCAUUAAUGGGUUCAAACACUAAAUACCUCUCACUGAUGCACCUUGCAAUGGCUCGUGCCUCUCACCUAGCAUUUAUCAUUCAAGGUGAUCUUUAACCUUGGAUUACCCAUCAAAAGCUCGCAAGAGAUAACUAAAGGAUGUCUCCUUAGAGUCCAAAAGCUUACCAAGUGUUGGUUAUUCUAGAAAAUCCUACCUUCAAACCACCUCCCAAAGGCUCGCAAGAGAUAAACAAGUGCAUCUCAAUGGAUGAAGAUCACUUGCCUUACCAAGUUUUGGCCCAGAUGAUUUAAUGACAUUUUAAGUUAACUAAAAAGAUAAAAACCAUUAACGGGUCACACUUUCUCUUCAUUAAAAACUAAAACAACAAAACUUCCAAUUUAUGCAUGAGGAAACUUACCUGGCUUUCUUCACUUCAAGAGAUGAAGAGCCUAGCCACUCAUCAUUUGAGGAAAAAUCCUCAGAGUUUGAUUUGCUAGAAAUAAAAAUAAUGAGAAAACAAAAAUAUAUAUAUGAAAAACAGAGCAAGUUCUCUGUAAUAUAUUUUUCUUCCUUAUACAAAAGGUUGUCUCUAAGAACAAGUUCCCGAGAUCUAUCUGAUUGUAAAUAAAAUUACAACUAUAUAUAAGAGGUUAUUCACCCCUUUGUUCUUUCUUAAAGACUAAGGAAUCCUAUGAUAGGUGGGUUACAAGGAGAGUUUGGGGAUUUAGACAUCAAAUAUCUAAAGCAAAAUAUCUCAAGAUGUUAGUCGGAAAUAUCAGGAAGCUUCAGGAGAACACCGCGACACUGUAUACUGAGAGAAAAACUCUCCGGGUAAGCUCUAUCAAAGGAUCCAGACAUGUCUGACUGGGAAAGUUGAAACGUCCUUCUCUCCCAUCCGGAUGUGAGAUAUCCGGAGAAAGUGAAAUGUCGGUCGGACAGAAUUCUUUCCCCGGGUGGAAUGAGUUGUGUUGCGCGUCGCAAGGGGGACCGUCUGCGUGUACAAGUUGUAGGGACCCCUCUCCCGGAUGACACCGAGCGCGUAAGGCUAUCCGGAUCAACUCCAUUCGGAUUCCCCAAGAGGACAUGUGGCGUGCUCCCCUAUCAGGACUCCCUUAGGGAGAAGCACACGACACUCGUGAACAUCAUACCCGGACGAUAGCAUGUCCUAUCCGGAUGUGUUGUCCGGAUCAUUGACUAAAGUGAGCAAGCCUUGCUACGUCAUUCGGACAGCUUGCCACAUACCAUGUUCCGUCGCCAUCUGAUGGUGUGUCCGAACGCCUUGUCCGGACAUCUUUUGCUCCUUGCAUUCCGGAUUUGCUUAUGACAAAGGACUUCAAAGCUUCGGUUCUUCAUGUUUCUGAGCUUUCCAUUGCUUUGCCAUGGAUUCCAAAGAACUCUCCUUAAUCACGGAUUGCUUUGGUGAUCAAAAAGUUAUCAAAACACAAAAACUUAACAUAGUUUGAUUAGAAUUGAUUGCAAGGGUUCUUAAUAUGUUAAUUGGGUUAAAAGGUGAUAACUACUACUCAAAAGUGUUUAUAAGAAUUAAUUACAAGCUAUGAAAUAACACUUUUUGAGUAGUAAUCAGGAUACAUCCUAGUUUUUCAUGGAAUUGAUAGUGGGUUGUUGUGCAUGAAUGCCACCAUUUCAACUAUGCUGUUGUUAUUUUUAAAAAAAAUAUGGAUUAUGCGCGAGUGGCAAUUCUCCACUAUGGAAAGUGGAUUGCUCCUUCAACCCAUGCAUGGCUACGUAUUCCUAUGUCUUUCUACUUGUGUUUGAUCCUCCAAAAAAAAUUUCGGUUUAGUGCUAGUAGAUUUUAAGUGGUGGAUCCCCAUUUUUUGAAAAUGAAGUGGCAGCCUCCCAUUUCAAGACAAAAUGGUAGCCUGCCUUUAAUCUUUGGAGAAAAAUCUGUGCAUGACCUUUUUUUUUCCCAAAAAAUCCGUGCAUGGUGUCCUUUAAUAUUUGGAGAAAAAUCUAUGUUGGAUCUUUUCUUUUCUAGAAACAUUUGUGUGGUCUUUUUUGUUAGCCCAAGGGUUCUUCUAAUCAAGUUUUGAUGAUAACAAACCAUGGUUAAGUGACUAAUUGGUUUAAUGAUUAAGAAUCUCAAACAUAAAAUCGAAAAUUCAUCAAAGGACCAAAUGGAUACAAGAUCGAGACGCUUGGAAGACUUGUAAUCAUAGGAAACUAAUGUAAGAUGAAUGCAUGAGUGCACUUAGGAUUUUCACACGUUUCAUGCAACUUAGAAAACCCAGUUUAUUCUUUAAAACUUCAUCCCAGUUUAUUCUUUUUAUGGUUGUGUGUGCUUUCCUUGAUACGUGGCUUAUUUAUUAAGGAUACAUCCCAGUUUUUCAUGGAAUUGACAGUGGGUUGUUGUGUGUGAAUGCCACCAUUUCAACUGUGCUGUUGUUAUUUAAAAAAAAAAAAAAUGGAUUGUGCGCGAGUGGCAAUUCUCCACUAUGGAAAGUGGAUUGCUCCUUCAACCCAUGCAUGGCUACGUAUUCCUAUGUCUUUCUGCUUGUGUGUGAUCCUCCAAAAAAAAUUUUGGUUUAGUGCUAGUAGAUUUUAAGUGGUGGAUCCCCUUUUUUUGAAAACUAAGUGGCAGCCUCCCAUUUCAAAACGAAGUGGUAGCCUGCCUUUAGUCUUUGGAGAAAAAUCUGUGCAUGACUUUUUUUUUCCCAAAAAAUCCAUGCAUGGUGUCCUUUAAUAUUUGGAGAAAAAUCUAUGUGGGAUCUUUUAUUUUCUAGAAAAAUUUGUGUGGUCUUUUUUGUUAGCCCAAGGGUUCUCCUAAUCAGGUUUUGAUGAUAACAAAUCAUGGUUAAGUGACUAAUUGGUUUAAUGAUUAAGAAUCUCAAACAUAAACUCGAAAAUUCAUCAAAUGACCAAAUGGAUACAAGAUCGAGACGCUUGGAAGACUUGUGAUCAUAGGAAACUAAUGUAAGAUGAAUGCAUGAGUGCACUUAGGAUUUUCACACGUUUCAUGCAAUUUAGAAAACCCAGUUUAUUCUUUAAAACUUCAAUUUCAUUAAAACCCGAGUUUUUAACUAAUGUACCUUAGGCAAAAUGUUUUAUAAUUGGCUUAAUAAUUCACCUAAAUACAUUUUCUAAGUGUUAGAAAAGAAAGGAAUUAAAAAAAGGUUUUCGGGGCAAAAAAGGCUCAACCGGUCGAGGCUAUGGUCAACCGGCUCAACCGGUUGAGGAACCAAUCGAUCGGUUGUGCUUGUCCGAUCGAAGACCAAUCGAGGGAUGCCAAAAAAUUUCUCUCUCUCCUAGUGGCCUUCUCUUCCCGGUCGAGGUUCGGUCUAGGCAACGGUAACAUGUCAAGCAUUAAAUGCUCCGACGACUAGUGAAUCGGUCGACCCCUAGCCCGAUCGGACGAGGUUGCCUUUUGCUGUUUUUGACUCCCGAGCUUAGAAACCUAUAAAUUGAGAGCUCCACUUCAUUUAUUGAUAAAAGAGAACACUUGCAUUCAAUAGUCUACCUACCUUUUCUUGAUCAAAAAGCUCUCAUUUCCUUCAUAGUGCAUUAAAUCAUCACUUGCAUAUCCUUUAGUGCACUAUUGUGUGUCAUCCUAGCUUUGUUUUGUAUUUGAGCUAUCCUUAAGCUAGGUUGAGGGAUUAUUUCUUAUAAAAAUCUGAGUGUUAAAGCCUUCAAGAGAUUUGAAUCUUGAAGAGAUUGUGUAAGAGCCCAUUGGAGCCGGAGUCCAAGUGUAAGAAGAUUGGAAGCUUGGUUGAAGCUUCAAGUUAGUGGAACCCUCACUCGGUUAGGAGGUUGAGGAGAGUGGACGUAGGUAAGGAAGUGUCGAACCAUUAUAAACCCGAGUUUGAAUUCUCUAACUCUAUCUCUUUAUUUUGCUUAUAUUGUGUUUGAAUUUGUUGUGAUUGAAAAGAUUUUAAAAACCUAAUUCACCCUCCCCCCUUUUGGGUUUUUUUUUCUUAAUUAAGCAUAACCUUUGUUUUCUAAUUUUCUUUUUAGGAAAAUCCAUGCGUGGUAUGUCCAAACUCUCCAAGUGGCAGUCUGCCUUCUUCUAAAAAAUUUGUUUCUAUUUCUUUAUUCGACUACCUUCCAUGUCUUCCUAAUGAGUGCUUGUGCUCAAUGGUCAAUCCCUGGUGGUUGCCUCCUUUUCCCAUAUAUACGUGUUGCAAAAUCAACAUCCCACUAUAUGUGGGUUGCCUCUAUGGCAAGUUCACAUUUCCCACAUGAAACCUAUGAGUUUCCACCAAAAAUUGCCAUGAAAAAGUCUUUAUAUGCAUCUCAUGCAAUAAAAAGUCAAGCCAAUACUCAUCUUAUCUCGAAAAAUAAGUAACCAAAAUCAAGAUCAUGCCUAAGUGAACUAUGCCAAAAGAAGUGUCCAAGUGACCUAUUAUGAAAAAAGUGCCUAAGUGACCUAAGGUGAAUGUGUGUAAGCUGGAAGGUGUCUAGGAUGUUUAGGACAAUGCCUAAGCCUAAAAUAGGGUUGCCAAGGGUCACAAUGGGGUUAGAUAAAUCUCUCAAUCAGAGUCUCCAAGGUGGCUCAUAAAAGAUAAGCUACACGAGUAAUGAUGGGCCACCAGGGAAUUAUUGUAAAGCACCAAACGAACACAUAAUAGGACAUGUGUUAGAAUGAAAAAAUGGAGGGUUUACAAGUGGUCUCAUGGAUGAGCUUGAUAAUUUAAAUGACUCACAUAAUGAACGUAUGUGAUGUUUCUCUCCAAUAACAAGCAAAACAUCACUAGCAAUAUGAUGAAUGUCUCCUAAAUCACUUGAAGUAGUCCUAGCAAAUCAAUUAGAAAAAUCACACAUAUUGCUCUAAUGUAAUAUUAUAUACAUCUGUCAAUGAAUGGGAGAACUAAUGACACAACCAUCAUGUUGAUAUCUCGAACCCUCUAAUCUCAUAUGUAGGUGGGAUCACACUUAGAAACUCAUAACACAGUAAUGACCAAUCUAAGUCAAAAUGUGUUGGUGAUCGGAGGCCCAUGAAUAUGAAGUUCUAGGAUGAUAAUGACAUCUUAUAAAGUAAUGAUCAUCUCCUUAAUAGAUAGGUGAAAUGUGUGUGUCUUAGGACACCAUCUCUCAACAAGACUUGUGAUCAAUCCCCAGUCUAGUGUAACAUGCCUAUUAUGACAUCCAUCGUAAAAUCUAGACUAGAUAAUAUAAGGACAAAUGUGAGGGUUCAUCUCCCUUUCCCACAUAAAUUUAAAAAAUUAUUAUUGACAAGUUAAGACCAAACUAAGUUGCAAAAUAUAAAUAAGUCCAUUAGAUAACAAAUUUAUGUUUUCUCAUUUUCUCAUUUUUAAAGAGAUAUUAUGUGCUUCCAUGUACAUACAUGCUAAAGUCAAUUAUACGAGACUUAUAUCCAUCUUGUAGAACCAAAUCGAACCUAUCUAAUAGAUCCAGAUUAGAAGUAUGUCCUCUAUACUCCAUAUUUAUAACACAUUUAUAAAGAUAAAUGCUAAAAAAAUGUUAAAGAUAUAAAUUUAAUGAACCAUACUUUAUGAUUUUAAUUCUCAAUUAUUGUUCAUAUUUAUAAGAGAAAAGUUAAAAAAAUUGAUAGAGUUUUCCCUCUAUCAUGGACAUUAUCCCAAAUAAAAAUAAAUUGAUUAUGCAAAUUACAUUAAUAUUUGUAACCAAAUGAUCAAUAACUAUCUUGUAUCAAUUUAGUAAAUAAAUUUAAGUAUAUCUUUUCAUUUAUGACUAACAAAUAACUCAUACUUGUCCAAUAAAAGCCACACCUAAUUUCUAAAAUUUUGUCUUCACCUCAAGUGAGUGUUACAUUGAGAAAGAAAAAAUAUGAAAGAAAAAAUGAACACCUUUUUCUUUUAAUAAAAAAAGGCCAUAACGAAACAUUAAAUCUCACUGUUACACCUAUCUUCAAUGGAAACAUGAGGAUGUGAAUGGUGGCGGUGAUAUUCUUUGCUUGAAGCUCAUAAACAAAUAUUCCUUACUAAGCCUAUGCCAUUUAGUAUUUCAAUAGUGGACCCCCCCCCCCCCCCCCCCCCCCUCCUUGCAUUUCAGAUUUAGCAAACUUAGAACCAAAUAACAAAGUGCAUUUGAACCCAUAAAGAAGUAAUGAGACUCUCCUAUAUUGGCAAUAGAAGAAAUUUUUGGAGGUAUAGGAGAUUCACGGAUGAAGAAGUUGGGCCCCAAUUGAGAUAAGACCCAAGAAAAGAUGGGGUAGAGAGGGAUGGUUGGAAAUUGUAAAGUAAGAUUUUCAAAAUGUAGUUGAUGACUAAGAUUUUGACAAUUUAAAAAAGGUUUAAAAAUGUAGUUAGCAAUCGGGGUUUUGUAACAUUUAAAAAAUAAAAUAAAAUCUCAGGCCACAUGGUAGCCCAUGUGAUUCAGAAGCUUGAGAAUUAUUUUAUAAGAAGACUUAAUUUGUGAUUUUUUUAUAACUAUAUUAUUUUUUUUCUUAACACACGAAAAAAAUUAUGAAAUAAGACAAUUUUCCUAAGAAAGCAUGUAAGUGACUCUUGGUUAUUUUAUUUAACUUCUUCUAGUUUGGAGAGGAUUAAUACCUUUGCUUUUACUCACUUGCUUGGAUAUGUACACGUUGUUCAUGUCACUUUUCAUUUAAUUUUCUGAUUAAGGGAAUUGGAACCGUACGUAACUGUCUUUAUUCCCUCUGAAACUUGGACUUGGAGUUGGACUUUCAAUCUCAUCAGUCGUGUUUCCAUAAAAAAGAAGAUGGAUUAACCAAUUUUCCUAUGCCUACUAAUCAUACACAAAACUCCACUUCCAAAUAAAAAGGAAUGGGAUAUCACUUGUUAAUAGUGGCUAAAGACUAUUAAUAACCAUGCAAAGAAAUGUCACAUUUUUUGUUCUACGCAAAUUUUAUUCAUCAACUACUAGAACCAUUUCAUACAAUAGUAGCUUUUCGAUCCUUUGAUAAAUGGACACUUGAUGUGAUAACACCAACUACACCUAUAUAUUCAAGCAAUCAUGCGUAUAUAAUAGUGGAUAUGGAUUACUUCUCUAAAUGGGCAAAAGUUUUGUCAUUCAAGGAAAGUGAACGAGGAAACACAAGUUUACUUUCAUCGGAACUAAUAUUAUAUAUUGAUAUGACUUCCCAUUAUUACUUACGAUGGAAUAUGCUUCCAUAAAAUGGCCUAGAUGAACAAACUAUCCAAGAAGUUUGGGAUCAAAUAAUAUAUAUAUAGUUCAUGUGUGAUUCUUUGGUUGACAACCUUGUUAAGGGGUGAGUGAAGCACUUUGGGCAUACCACAUACUACAUGCUAGACUUCCACCCAAGCUACCCUAUAUUCCUUAUGAACAAAGUAGAAGUUGUCAUCUCUCUUGAAUACCAAAUCCUUUCACCUAAUAAUGCUAUCUAAAAAGGUCUUAAAAAGGAUAAAAAUGCGCAUAUUUGAAUUUUUGAAUUAGGAGUGCUACUUAAAAAGAAGCUAGAUAUACAAUAAUAGAAUGUUAUCAAGCAUAUCUCUUCAAAGUUUUUGACCAAAAAAUAUAUGAUUUCUCAUUUUAGGUAGGAGACUUAGUACUCACUAUUCAAAAACCAAUUAUCAUUACUCAUAAAAACUAAUAGAAAGUUUGGGCCAAAGUAGGAUGGACCUUAUAUUAUGCAACAAUUAUGCCUAUAAAAUUGUUGCAAAAGAGGUUUUAGAAUCAAAUCAAUGAAUGAAAAAUUAUUAAAGCAUUACUAUGCUUGAAGGCUAGUCAUUUUCCCUUAAAGUGCAAUAUUAAGUUGCAUAGUACUAUGUGGAUCCGCAUUUUUCACAUGCGUUCCCACUCAUUGUCGAGACUCACUUUUUAGAAGUGAAAAAUUAGUUUUAUUAAAGUCGAAGUUGCCACUGGGGAUUUGAACCCUAACAAAAGGUUCAAUUUAAGGAUAAAAAUAUCGAUAAUCACAUAUAUAUAUAUUGGUACUUUGAUUUUAUGAAUAUAUUGAAGAAAUAUGGACAAAUAUUUUGACACAAAAUAUGUACAAAAUAAAAAUUAUAUAAAAAGUAAAAAUAAAUAUUUUAAAAUUAUUUUUUUAAAUAUAUAUAUAUAUAAUUUGACAUAUUUGAUAAUAAUAUAUAAGGGUCUCCAAAAAGCCCGUGGCCCGCUUUAGGCCCGGUCCGACCCGACAGGCUAAAGCCCGGCCCAAGCCCGCCGGGCCCAAGCUCGGCCCGAGCCCGUUUAUGGGUGGGCCGGGCCGCGAGCCCGUAGGCCUGCUCCUUUAAAAAAAAACUACAAAAAUAAAAAGUAUUAAAAAAAAUAUUCAUUUCAAAAUUUUAUUCAUUGAAUGUAUAAUUACAUUUGAAAAUGUGGGAAAAGUUUACAUCACUACAAAAUAAAUACAUCCCAACUAGGUUGGCACCUAUUUAUUUGUCAAUCAUCUGUAUUUUUCAACCACAAAAAAUAAAAAUAAAAAUAUAAUAUACAUUUAGUCAUUAUUUUCUGGCGGUGAUGGCGAACUAUCAUGCAUCCAUGAAGAUCUUGAUAAUUUUAAAGAUUCCAUAUCGGUAAGCAUCUUUGUUUCUCGAAUGGAAUCAUACAUCCUUUUAUCUGCUAUUUCCCAAUCUUUCACACAUAUCCCUGCUUUAAUAACAUCUGACGCUAAGUUGCAUCGUUUUUUACUAACUACUCUUCCACCUGCACUAAAAGCAGCUUCUGAUGCAACUGUACUCACAGGAACUGUUAGUACAUCACGAGCAAUUAUAGAAAGCACAGGAUAUUUGUGUUGAUGUGAUUUCCACCAUAUUAAAAUAUUAAAAUCUUCUUGAUCUUCAAAUGAAAUUAUAUCAGUAUUAAGAUAUUUAUCUAAAUCAGAUGUAUUAUUUGGAGAAUUAUUUGUUGUCUUUUUUCGACUUUUCAACAUUUCUAGAGCUCCUUUAUAAAAAGAUGAGGAGUUUGUAGAUGUAGGUGGUAAUUUAAUAGUAUUAAUAUCAUUACCAUAUUUUUCUUUAUAAUAGUUAUAUAAAUUAUAUAAUAAUGAAUUUAUUUCAUUUUUAAUUUCUUCAAUUUUUAUUUGGUCAUUAAAAUAAAUAAUUGUUAACCAUUCAUCCAAAGCUUCAAAUUUCAAUCUAGGGUCCACAAUUAAAGCAAUAUAAAAAAUUAAAGGUAUUUCUCCCCAAUAUUUUCUAAAUUUUUAUAUCAUUACAAAUAUUGUAUCAUUAAAUAUUUCAAAACUUAAAUAUUUUUGAAGUACAAUAAAAAUAUUAGUUAUUUGCGUAAUAACUCGAUUUGAAGUUGGAUAAUAUACACCACAAAAAAUGUUUGUUGAAGUAUCAAAAAUUUCAAAAAGAUCUCUUAAAACAUCCGCAAUAUGCCAAUCAUAAUCAUUUAAUGCAUAAAUAUCUGCUUCAUAAUCAUUGUUAAUUAAUUGUAUUUCAUAUAAUUCGACUACUUUUCUAUAUUUUGUAAUAUUUUCUAAAAGUUUAUAUGUGGAAUUCCAUCUAAUAGCCAUAUCCAAAUUUAUAUUUUUUCUUUUCAUAUUUAACAUUUUGCAACAAUCAAAAAAUAAUUCAUGUUUUGCUUGAAAACUAUUAAUACUAUAUGCAAUGCCUCUAAUUUUUUUCCAAUGUACUAUCAACAUUUUUUAAUCCAUCCUUUACAAUUAAAUUUAAAAUAUGUGCACAACAACGCACAUGAAAUAUUUUAGCAUGAUCUUCUUUUACUUGCCAAUAUCGUUUUAGUCUAUGUAUUGCUGCAUCAUUAUUAGCAGCAUUAUCUAAUGUUAUUGUCAAUAUUUUAUCACGAAUGCCUAAAUCUAUAAUUUCAUCAUUUAUUAAAGAUGCUAUAUUUUUACCACUAUGUGGAGUAUUUAUUAAUUUAAAUAAAAUUAUUCUUUUAUUUAAUUUCCAUUCAUUAUCAAUGUAGUGAACAAUUAUAUAUAAAAAACCAGUAUGAGUUAAAGAUGUCCAAAUGUCAGAUGUUAAACGAAUAUUUCCUUCAAAAUUUGCAAAAUUUUUUUUUAAAAUUUCUUUUUGUGUAUAAAUUUUUUUCAUAAUAUCUCUUUUAACUGUAUUUCCAGAUCAACCUUUAAAUUGAGGAUUAAUACCUCGUUGAAUUGUUCUUGCAAAAUCAUGAGUUUCCAUCAUGUUGAAAGGUUGUUCUGCUCUUAUUAUAUAAUCAAUCAUUUCUUCACAACAGUUAGAUUCAUCAUAAGAAAAUGUUUUUAAAUUUCCACUUUCAUUUUUACUUAAUUGCAUAUAAUUUCUAAUAUCUACAUUAUUUUUAGUUUUACAAUUUUCAUGAUGUCUUUUUAAAUGACUUGUAUCUGCAUUUGAGCCACCAGUAAGAAAUUUAUUACAAAUUUUACAUUUUGCUUUUAUUUUUUUUUUAUUAUUUUCUAAAAUUAUUUCUAUUCUAUCAAAAAAAUUCCAUAUAUUUAAAGUAAAUUUUUUGUUUGAUGAUAUUUCAUCACAUGGACUAGACGAAGAAGCACUUGUCAUAUUAUAAUUAUUGAUAAAAUAUUAUGCCAAAAAUAAUAAAGUAAUAAAUAUAAAAAAAAAUGUAACAAAAAAAAUAAAGUAGUAGGGGUGAAGUAUGUUACUCAAUUAGAGAACCUAUGCAGAAAUUCCUAGCAAAUUUGAACUCUUGGAGCCACCAAUGCUUGUUUUGCACCAUCAACAAUAUUGUAUAAUUUGAGGGAAAAAUAAAAGAAUUUAAAAUAUUGUAGAAUGUGAGAGAAAUAGAGAGAAUUUGAUGAAAAAAUGAAAAGGAAGAAAAUGUAUUUAUAGGAAGGUUAAAAAUAAUAAUAAUAAUAAUAAUAAUAAUAAUAAUAAUAAUAAUAAUAAUAAUAAUAAUAAUAAUUGGCCAUGUGACCGUUGGAGGCUUAGCUCCAACGGUCACAUGGGCUGGAGCUAGGCUCCAACAGUCACAUGACCGUUGGAGCCUUUAAUUUUUUUUUUUAAAAUAAUAUACUUUAUUUUUAUAUAUAUAUAACUAACUCAAUUAAUAAACAUAAAAAGAAUAUAGUUCAGUUGGUUAGAACCUUGAAGUUUAAACAUGAGGGGAGGGGUUUGAAUCCCUCCCUCUCCCUUAGGGGCUUUUUUAAAAGCCAUUUUGGCUUAUUUCAAAAAGCCUGUCGGCCCGACCCGCCCUGCAGCCCGCGGGCCUAGCAUUUUAGCAUGGCCUGGUCUGUUGACUAGUCAAAUGGCUCAUAGGCUCGGCCCGAACUGGGCCGCGGGCCUCUUAUUUACGGACCGGCCCGACCCGGCCCGCCCGUUGGAGACCCUUGAUAAUAUCUUCUAUAUUAAGUUACAUUAUAGUUUAUUUUACAAUAUUAUUAUGAUAAUAUGUCUAAUUUUAAAAUAUAUUUAAUAUUAAAAUUAUGAUCUAUUUUAAUUUAAAUGUAUUCAAUGAUAUCAAAUAAAUAAUAAUAUAUGUAUAAUUCUUUUAUUAUUUAUAUUUAUUAUUUUUAAUAAAUAUAUAGAUUAUAUAAAAAAGACCGGAUAUAUCUUUUCAAAUUUUGUAUCGCUCUCCAAGGAUAUUAGAUGUAUGGGAAUUUGUAUUGCUAUCUACGGAUACGUUGAUAUAUGGGUGAUUUAUCAGGAUAAUUAGAAAUUCUAAUUAUGUAAGCAGGUACGGAGUUCUGUGUCGGUGCGAUCUUGUCGACAACAGCUCCAAAUUGUGCAUCUUGCUCAUAGAGAGUAGCGGAAUGCACCAAUCGUAGGCUCAGAGUACCACUGAGUCGUCUGGCAGAGACCCAACUGAAGGUGCCUGUGUUGUUCCUGAUCUGAUCAGGCUUCAAACUACAAGGUGGAAUACUGGUUCCCCUAUAUCAGAAGCUGGAGAUACCCACCCCAUAUGCUCGUCUGGAUGUGCUCCUACCCUUUGAAGCCUUCUUCCGAGUCAAGUCCGAAUUGAUAAGGCUAGUGAGUUCCCAACCAACUGUACUCAGCAUGCUGCCAGGUGGAGACCCUCCAUAUUUGAUGGCUUCCUAAUAUUAAAAUGCUGACCACUGGUCUUCAUGUUCCACAGGCUUAAUUGUGUCCUUUGCUGAAAGAAUGGAUAGUGAUCCAUUUUAACACAUGAUUCACGCCGUCUUUGCCAUUCUUCAUGGUCUAGCCCUUUUAUAUAUAUGCUUCCUGAACUGUUGCUAUUAAUAAAAUGUGGUAUCUAUCCCGUACACCUUCCUGAUGGCCAGCGAAUGCAGAAGCUACAGAAACGGUUCCAUCUUUUGCUUCCGCCACUUUGGCAUCCUCCAUGAUGAGAUCGAAGGUGAAUAAUCAUAUUCUGGGGAUUUAUGUCCUGGAUAUUCUCAGUAAUGCCCAAUUUCCUGGUGCCGGCCUCAUUUCCAUGGGAACUGAUGGAUAACUUAAGGCUUCUACCAUCUGCGUGGUUCGCUUCUAACACAGGAAACUUCACGGCUAAAAGCAAGAUACCAAGAACAUCAAGGCUGUGACAAAAAUUAGUAUUUUUAACUUGUAGGAAUUUGAAAGGCAACCAACCAUCUAGCUCUGUUCUUAAAGCUCCCAUAGGAGGAUCAGAGGCUGGAUUGCUCAAGAUGAACUCAUCCAUUGUUGCACUUAAAAAGAAUUGGCAUGAAUUGUGGCCGCUCUAAUAGGUUCCCUAAACCAUCAUCCAAGUGGGCUUGCGGAAGGUAGCGAGUUUAAAACACCUAGGGCGAUGAACAGUGGACUGUGAUGCUCACAAAAGAGAAAAGGAAGAAUUCAAUAAUUCCUAAGAAUCCAUUUGCCUGUCAUCCAAAUUUUUAUAUUCUCUUCAGUCUGACGCGUUAUGCCAUAUAUUAAAAAUAGCGGCUUCUUCCAAGCCGAGACAGACUGUGCAAAGUUCGCAAGGCCAAUCAUCACCAUAAUCUGAAGUUGGCCUCCUCAAUCGCAGCUUGUAUCCGAAUGCUCACUUCACGGGAUGGAUUGUAAUGAAAACUAAUCUCAGUCCCAGCUAUGGCAGCAUCCUCACUUGACAGCAUUUUCUGCAUAUUCUAGAACAAAGCAAUAAACCCUCAAAGGCUCCUUCGGAUCAGAGUUAGAAGACUGUCCCUCAGGAACGUGAACACUAUGGUGGUUCUGAUAAGCAGUGAUAUUGCAUUAGAGCCUUUUGGAACAAGAGGAUCUUUUCAGGUGGAAACUGUAAACUGCUUCAUGUUGGGCUGCAACCUUUUCUUCAAGCAAUACUUUCUUUCUGUAUCACGACUUAUGUUGCUUCCGGAGCCAUCCCGUGUGGACUGCCCUUCAGUGAAAGAAUAUGUGUGUUGACAUGUUGGAUUGUAAUCUUUGUUCCACUCUAAUGGCUUUUGGUCCUCCUCUUUCUCUUUAUGACAGAGAACCAUUUAGUGAUCCAUCUCUAUAUUGUAGCAUUGCUGGUGCUUUGCAAUACUACACUCUCACCAAGCAUAACAUCUAUUUUUCCGUGACCAAAGUAUGUCGGUUUAUGCAUGCGCAAACUCUUAUUCAUUGGCAAGUUGUCAAGCGUAUCUCAUGAUUUCCCAAAGCCACAAGUUCUUAUGGUCUUUCUGUUCAAGCUUACAAUGAUCUAUCUUUUCUUGGUUAUACUGAUGUCGAUUGGGCUAGUUGCCCUGAUAACAAGCACAAUACUAGUGGGUACAACACUUUUCCUGGUCCUAAUCUCAUUUCAUGGGCAUUUUCAAAGCAGAAGGUUGUGUCUCACUCCAAUAACGAAUCUGAAUAUAGGGGACUCACUAAUUAAUGUUGUUGCCAAGGUCACUUGGAUUGAAUCUGUCUUACGUGAGUUGCGUGUUUCUCUACCCCAACCACCAAUUUUGUUGUGUGACAACAUUAGUGCUACACACUUGGACAAACCAUGUUGAAAUACACUAUCAUUUUAUCCAUGAAAGGCUUAUGCAUCACACACUCAAAAUUCAAUACACCUCUUCUAUAGACCAACUAGUCAAUGCUAUGACCAAAGCUCUUCCUUCAUCUCACUUGUACAAUCUUCAGUGCAAGCUGAUUGUUCUUCCCAAACCACUCAACUUGAGGGGAGAUGUUAAGCCAAUUUAAUAAAUUGAUUUCUUUUGGUUAAUUUGUUAGAAUCAUUUUUAUUAGAGGUUUGUUUGUACAAUUACAUCCAUUUAUCAGGAGAGUACACGUGUACAACUCCUCUUUUAAUCUCACCAUUGUAUAUAUAUGAUACACGACCUUACUCAGAAUUGCAUAACAUUUCCUCUGCUCAUUCCUUUUCUUCUUUGAAUUUUCCCUUACCUCACUGAUUUUGAUUUAUACCUGGUGUUUUCACCUUUGGUCUCUACCUUUCUAGCCAGUUUUCUAAUUAAUCCGUAUAUGGUAUACCUGUCAACUAAUGAGGAGAAAGAGAAAAGGGGAUUGCUGUUCCACCAGCUACAUAUAAUAAUUAAUUACAAUCAUGGUAAUGGAUCCUGAAAUCCAUCCUUUGUGGAUUUUGUACGGAAUAUUGUUGUUAUGUAUGUGGGCUCACUUAGAUGUAUAUUGCUAGCCUGUCUGGGAAAUGUGAUUGCAGGUCCAGAUUAUGAUGUUGAUAUUAGUGGGAUAAGCAAGAGAUGCAGUUAACACGUAUGUGAUGGACUUGAGUAACUUUUCCAUUUCAGUCCAUUUUUUAAGAUUAUGCUUAGUCUUAUUACAAGGAAAGACCAUAAGAAUCAUGAGUCAUUGGCAAGGUAAUAUCAUUCCCUCUUUACAGGCUUCUUCACCUUUUGGUUUUUUUAAUAUCCAUCAAGAUCUUUUAAUUGGAGGACAAUUACAAGUAUAUAUAUAUGUAUUAAAAGGGGAAAAUAUUAAAACAGGAAAUUUUAGGGAAAAUAUAAUAAUUAUUUCUUCCUUCUUUCCCAUAUAGAACUACACAAAAUAAAACUUUAAUAAUUUUUUCUUAUCUUUUUUAUUAUUAUUUUUUCUUAGAAACAUCCGUGGUCUCACAAGCUUGUAAUCCUAGAUUGUUAGGCUCCUUUAACAGUGCCCCAACAUCGUGGUCCAAUGACAAGCUUCCACGCCUUAAAAUCAGAAAAUGCCAUUAAACUUUAUCAGACAUUACAGUUCAAGACAAAGCUUUCAUUUGCUUAAUGUGAUAAUGAAAUUGUUAAUUUCAUUUCGUGGGCAUCUAAAUUUGGACGAGCAAGACCUCUGAAUUCCCUGUUUUUAUCACCAGCAGAGGAGAUAAAAUCUUAAUGGUGAGAAUCUCCACGUGAAAUUUAUGUGUACUGUCAACAUAUUUUUGUUUAUAUAGUCCAGUAGCUGCAGGAAGUCUAGAUUAUAUAGGUAGCAGUAGCACUAUUUAUAGCACUCGAUAUUCGCUGUAUGAAUACAUUAAACCUUGUUUUCAAUACGCAUCACAAGCAAGUACUAGAUACUACAAGGAGUGACAGUCGCAUCAACAUUUCUUGAUAAUAGCAGUGACUGAUUUAUACACAGAACAGUACUGUACACGUACCAGUCACCAGAGAUAGGAUCUUAUUCCUACAUACGACUCUUAUUGAUCGAAGUCACUCAGUUGGGGUAGCCUGGAGUUGGAGGUUUGUGUGGUGGCUUCUUCUUUGGAGGAGGCUUUAUCUUUGGAGGCAUCAUCUUUGGAGGCAUCUUGUGUGAGUCUUCUUCAGCAUUCUCUACAGGAGGAUGGCCAGGCUUAUGACCCUUAGGUGGUUUGCCAACUGGGAUUGGUGGCUUGUGUCCUGAGAGUGGCUCCUCUUCUUCGGGAGGUUUGCCAACUGACGUUGGUGGCCCGUGUCCUGGGGGUGGCUUGUGUUUUGGGGGUGGUUUCACUCCACCGGGAGGUUUACCAAUUGGUGUUGGUGGUUUGUGCUCAAUCGGUGGCCUCUCAACUGGGGGGCGCUUGGGGUAAUCAGCGAGUGAAGAAGUGGUGAGAACCACCACUCCAAGCAACAACACUAGCAAGUAUGUGGAAGACAUCUUUGAGUUUGGCUCAGAUGGUGUAGAACUAGAAUCCUGGGUGGCCUUUUAUAUUAGUUGGGCCCUAUGCCCGAACGACAAGUGUCAUGGUGACACAUAAAGUGAUGGGGUCGAUUUGGGCCUACCGGAUUUGAAAACUUGGACAAUUCGAGAAGCGUCUCCUGACUCCGGGUUGUAAAGUGAAAGAUUAGGUAUCGACCAUUGAAGUAUGAUCACAACUUUUGGCCUUUGGCUCUCUCUACUGCCGUAUAGCUUUUUUCCUUUGGAUAUUUUUCUUAGCUAGACACAAUUAUUGAGCAGUCUAAUCUCGAAAUGGGAUUAGUAUAGCUUUAAGCAAAUUUAUUAUAGUUAGUGGAGGACUUUUAAGAGUGCAGACGACAUUUAACACAUGCAUGCAGUAGUAUAGGGGACAUAACACUAUUCUUUUUCCAAAGAUUCACAUGAUUUUUAUAUUAUAGUAUUGGCACAUUGUAUGUAGCUGGUUUUGUGGUUAAAAUUCCAUAUGUAGACACUGGCGUUUCUCCAUUUCUCACAAUUGAUGUUUACCUCCACGAUUACUAGAUUAGAUAUACCAAACAAUAACACAUUGUAUAAUCUAUCCGCCCUUCAAAAUCUACUGUAUGAUGAAAUGUUUCAUGUGUGUGUGAAGUGUUAGAAAUGCACUAUAGGCAACAUCAUCUUCUUUUGUCUAGGCUUGGGCCUCAAAUUAUACUCCCAUGCCAUGAUAAAUUUUCAUGUGCAUUCUCUAAAGAAGAGUGUCUUGAAUGUGCCAAAUCAUUUUGAUUGAUUUUAUGAUGUUAAUUGCUCCGCAUAUGGAUGGGUAUGUGCUUUAUUUGCUUAUUCAAUCCACAAUUACCUUGAACUGAAGUCCUAUUGGAGCUCUAUUAUUUUAGCAACGUCCUGUCAAAUAGGCUGCUAACUUGGGGUGGUAUGGACCCAAUGAUCCAUCUUAAUCUUGGGUUGAUUUUGUCUGACUCUAUCUAUCUCAGAGAGAACCAGGAUCACCAGUGCUGGUCUGCUUAAAGAAGACUCAGUACUGGAUUAAUAUUGGUUUGGGUCAAUAGCUUAUAAUGCAUUGAAUGCAGAAUAAACAAGAUCAAUGAAACCCAAAACACACUGCCCACACAACUUCACUCUGGUGUCUGUUAUUCAUCAAUUCUAUUCCCACAUGAACUGGUUCAAGUUUAAGAAAAUGACAACGGAUCCACUGUAUUAACUUGGUUUUGCUUGGUUUUGAGCUAGUUGCCAAACCAGCCAUGAGUUUUACCUCUAAUGUCAAUGAACAAACCCCAAAUGAACAACUGCAACAGCUUAAAGAGAAGGAAUGGAGAUGAAAAUCCCUGUUUCUUCUCAUUCUGGGGACAAAUUAGAACAUAACUACAAAGGUUCUAUUAAUUGACUUACUCUACCAUGAAUUAUGGUUCUUUGGUUUUCCAAAUUUAAAUUGUACAUGAGAUUAUUUUUUUCCUUUAUAUAUAAACAUAUUAAGGUUUUCUUAUUUCGUGGGCAAAUGCGCUAAGGAUGAAAGUCAUUUCAUUUGGCUGCAACAGCAUCUUAUAAUCAACAUGCAUAAGCAGCAGUUUUAAUUGAUCGAUUGAACACCGACUCACAAGAAUAGAUAGAAUGGUACAAGACAGCUCUUAUUAAUUUAUACUCGUUACUCAUUUUAUGUAGCCCCAUUAAGAUGGCUGGCUGGACCACCGAGGUCUGGGGGUGGUGUUGCUUGUGUGAUGCAGCGGGCCGGGCAGACACUUCUCUAGUUGCUUCUAUUUGGAGUUAGAGGAUCAGUCUCUGCCAACCUUGAGGACUCUCUACCUCAGAGGGUCCAGGUGGUGGACUCUGGUGUCGGUAGCUUUGAACUCUCAGUAGACUAGUGUGUCUUAAUCAGUCACUGCCAGAGGCUGGCGUAGGCAGUGACGAUAAGGUGAGACAAAUUACCGAAUAGUCAAUAUCGACUGCACUUGACCAUUAUAGAUUUGUUCUGACAAAAGUGAGAAAAGGGAGAAAAUCGGAUGUUGACCUUUAUAGAAAAAGAUAAGAUUUACUGCAACACAGAGCACUGAUUUGUUACUUGGAAACCAAGUUAUGCUAUUAGCUAGCCUCCAUUAGCAGCAGGGUACCUUGCUGCCUGAUCCUAAUCUGAGUUCCCAAGGUUUCAAUCUUCGUUUGUUAACGCUUCAGGAUUUGGAUAUUUCAGCUUCGUUUCUCCAUUUAGCCAACGCUGCCUGGUUUGGAUUUCAAUCCUCAUCUGGAACAUUCUUUUUUCGGUCUGAUUCAGGAAGUGUUUGGUGAUAGUUGAUUAAAAUUAAACAGUACUAUCAUACAAAUAAAGCUGAUCUAAUUUUGGUGGGCAAUAUACCAACUCAUUUAUUCUUGAAAACACCAUGGGGAAUUGGAGGUCCAUCCGAAGUACUAUUUGAUGGGACUCACAAAAAGAACAGGUGCACAUUUAUGAGAUCCGUGGAAGAGAUAACUAUGACAGCUAUGCAUGUACAACAGAUUUAUGUCGAGUUCACCUCGUAGAUAUUUUGUUUUCAGUGUCGGUGGACCCCAAAAUGGAAAUCGGAAAUUAAGGUUAUAUUUAUUUUUUUAUUUAAUUUUAAAUAGAAUUUUAAUUUUUAAUAAUAUUAAGUAUUAAAUUAUUUUUUUAAGGGUAUUUUAUUUUUAUUAAGUAUUAAAAAGUAAAAAAAAUUAAUAUGUUGCUUUUUUAUUUUAAAAAAAUUAUAUAUUUUAAUUUUUUCUAUUUACUAAAAAGUUUAUAAUAAAUUAUAAAAAAAUAAAAAAAUAAAAAACUUAAAUUCUGAAAAUAAAUUAUUUUUAAUAAAAAAAUCCAAAAAAGCAAACACCACCUAAAUUUGAGAUGACUCAAAAUUUUAUAUUUUUUUUCACCUAAAUUAUAUUCAUAAAUUUAAAAUUAAAAAAUUAGGAAGUUGAAUUUUAUUUUGGAUAAUUGGAAACUACAAGAAAUCAAUAAAAAUAUUUGGAAAAAAAAGAAAAAGAAAAACUAUCUAUAUAUUCACCCCCUUCUAAGAAACAUAACUUUAGUUUUUAACUAUUUUUUAAAAUAAUUUUUGAAAAAUGUUAUAUAAUAUUUUAUAAAACAAAAAAUCUGUUUGACAAUUUGAUAUGUCUUUAACUUAUUUUUAAUAUUUAUAUAUAUAUAUUUUAAAAAUAAUUUUAUAUUUAGAACUUUAUCUUUAAUUAUUAUAUAUAUUUAUAUAAUUAUUUUUUUUAAAACAACUCUUAAAAAAUAAGUGAAAGUAAUUGAAAACAACUCAAAGAUAUUUGAUGAAAACACUCUAAUUUGUAUUUUUGAGAAUAAAAAAAUAAAUAAAUAAAUUUCUAGUUAUCAAAUGUAUUUUUUAAUUCUUUUAUUCUAAAAAAUAGAAAAUCGUUUUUGAAAAUAAUUAUUAAACAACAUUCUUAAAAAUUCACUCGUUACAAUCUAGAUUUAAUGCAAGAAUGAUUGAAGGAGUCCUCCAAUAGAACCCAAAGUUAUAAACAUGAACAAGAAGCCCUAGAAACACCAAAGAUCUCAUAUGGUAUAUAUAUGAGCUUGAUUGAGAACUGUUUUAAAUUCAGUUUUUUUUUUUUUUUUUUUUUUUUGUUUUCAAAGUCAAAACAAGUUUACUUUUAAUUUUUACUUCUUUUUUUUAAUUUUAUAAAUAACAGUUUUUUAAUAAUUUAUUUUGAAAACAUGAUUAUUUUUAAAACUUAUAAUGAAAAUAGGAAUUUUUUUUUUAAUAUCAUGGUUAUUUUCCCUUCUUUUAAGGAGGGCUAUUUUAAAAAUAAAUUUACAAAUAUGAAAAAUGAUUCAAACUAAAGCAGUACAAAUAAAAAACAUUUUUAAGAAAUAUUUAAAAAUAGAGAAAAUUAUUUGAGAACAUUUGAAGUCCUUAAAUAGACUUUUGUUUUAGAAAAGGCAAGAUAAUUAUUUUUGAAAAUUGUUUUCAUAAUGAUAUGCAAAAACCUACGUAAAAACCAUAAUUAUAAUCGGCCACAUAUCAAAUCUACUAAAUAUGAAAAGUAAGUACAUAAUUAUAUUUGACUUAGAUGCAAGGAGGAAAAUGUCGCGAUAUUAUCGCCGAAAUAUCGUGUGUCGAAGGGUAUCGACACGAUUUUUCUUGCAGAAAUAUCGGCCAGUCGAUUUUUCGGGAUAAAUCUCGAGAAAUCGGCAAUUUAUCGCGAUAUAUCGGCGAUUUUUCCUCGAUAUAUCUUCUGGUCAACGCGGGUCAACGGAGUCAACACGCUACAGUGAAAGUCAAAUGUGCUACAAUGUCCCCGCUACAAUCACCUCCCCAAACAAAUUGCCAAAUUGCUUCCGAGGGGAUUUGAACCAGCCUUCUUGCCAUUUGGGCUAACUCGCCCUUAUGAUAUAUAUUGCAUUAAACAUAUAUAUACUUAAAGUCCUUAUAUAAAGAAAAUGUUAAAAAAAUAUUUUAAAGAGCAAAUUAAUUAUAAUUAUUUUAUAAUUAAAAGCAAAAUUUUCUUUUAAUUAAUUACCAAAAAUAUAAAAAUUAUAUAAUUUUCUUCAUAAUGUUUUUAAUAUCAUUAAUAAUUAAUUAAAUAUUAAAAAAUUAUAUAUAUAUAUAUAUAUAUAUAUAUAUAUAUUAUAAUUUAUUUUAUAUUGUUUAAUACAAUUGAAUUAAAUGGAUCAUAUUUUAAUAUUAAUAUAUAUUUUAAAAUUAGACAUAUUGUAAUCAAAUAUCAUAAUAUUAUAUGUAAUUUAAUAAUAAAUGUACACUUAUAAAAUUCAUAUUUUUAUCGAUGCAUACAAUAUUAUUAUCAAAUAUGAUAAAUCAUGUUAUACAUAUAUCAAAAUUUUCAAUAAAAUAACUUUAAAAUGUCUAUUAUACUUCUAAUUAUAUUAUUAUGAGGUUUUCUUUACAUUUUCAUGAGUUUUAAACAAUUUUAAGCACCAAUAUUUUUUUCCAAAAUAUCCACCGAUAUAUCUCCGAUAUAUCCAAUAUAUCUCCGAUAUCUCCGAUAUAUCCGUAAAAUCGAAGUACCGAUAUAUCCGUGAUUACCGAUAUUUUCAUCAUUGCUUAGAUGCAACCUUCUUCCAAAUGACAUACUUUAGUCAAUACUUAUAUUUUUUCGUUUCACUUCUUUGAUACAACACCUCAUGGAUUUAUUGUUUAAUUUAUUUGUAAUUAUAAAACUAUUUUUCAUUUUUAAUAAGACUUGAAUUAAUUUAAUAAAUAUUAUAUAAUUUGAAUUUAUAAUUCUUUUUAUAAAAUCAAAGUAUAUUAAAAAAAAAACAAUUUAUCCGAAGAAAGUUUUUUAUUUUUUAUUUUUUAAAACCGAUUUUAAAAAUAACUAGCUAGACACCCUUAUUUUGAUAAAAUACGAAAUAAAAGUGUAAAAACAACAUGGCCAAAUAGGGGCUUAAAUUUUAUUUUUAAAACAUUUUUUUACACUAAAGUGCAUUUUAAAAACACCAUCAAAACCAACUACAAGUUAUGCUUCUUCCCGUAAUAGAAAUAUUUUAGGCCAAAAUAGAACCUCCCCAAAUAAAGACCCUAUACUAAACUCCUUUUCAUUUUAUUAAUACAAAAGUGGGGAAAAAAGGUCUAUGCUCACCUAAAAAACAUGAAUAUUGUGAAUUCACCAUUUCUAUAAGGAAGUUGAAAACUUCAAAAUUUUAUCAACAAAUUCUCUAAAAUCCUCAAAAUAUAUAGGGCCUGUUUCACAAAGUUUUUUAAAAUUUGUUUUUAUAAAUUGCUUUUAAAAUAUAGAAUAAAUAACAGUUUUUUAGAUUUUUUGAAAAAUAAGAGUGUUUGGUAAGAUGUUUUUUUUUUUUUUUUUUUUUUUAAGAAUUAAAUAAAAAAUAAAAAAAUUGUUUAGAUAAAAGAAUUUGUAUUGUUUUUAAAAACAAUGUCUUACUUUUAUGUUAUAAAAAUUUUAUUAAUUUAAUUUAUAAUAAUAUGAAAUGAAAUUCAAGUUAAGUCUUAUUAAAAAAUACAAAUUAAAUCUAUAAUUAUGCAUGAGUUAAAGAUAAAUAUAUAUUUUUUAAAACUAUAAAAUAAAUUUUCUAUUAUAGUGAAACAAAAAUUACUAUAAAAUAAAAAUAAUUUUAAUAUUCAUUUUUAAUACAAGUCAAAUAAGUACUUUAAUUAAUUUUUUUUAUCAUGAUUUCUUAUGUUUUUUUUUUUUUCUAGAAAUUAUUUUAAGUAAUAUAACUAAUUUUUUUUUUAAUGUUUUAUAAAAAUAAGGAUAUUUGGCAAGUUGUUUUUAUAAAAGGAUUUUAAAAAUAAAUGGAUUUUUUUUUUUUUUAAAAAAAGAACAAAAUGAUUUGUUUGAAUAAAUUGUUUUGAUUUUGUAAAAACAUUUUAAAUUCAAUUUAUAUAAUAUUAAUUAAUUAAAUUAAAUUGAAGUUUUAUUGAAAAUAAAAAUAAUUUUGUAAUUAAAAUUAGAUUAAAAAAUAUAUAGGUUUUAAUAAAUCGUAAAUAGUAAUAUUAUAAUAAAAUUAUAAAUUAUAUUUUUAACAUAAAAUAUACUAUUUAUUACAUAUUAAAAAAAAUAUUUUAUUAUAUUAAUAAUUUUAUGGUAUUAAUGAGUUUAUUAUUUAAGUUUUAAAUUAUUUUUAAAAAUUAAUAAAUUUGUUAACAAAUGCAAUGUACUAAAUGUGGUUUAAUUUGGAGUUAAUUUGUUUAGGGAAAAAAAUAAAAAAUAAAAAUCUUAUGUAAAAGAGAAAUAAUAGAGUGUGUGUGUUUUUUUUUAUUAUUUUUAAAAAUCAGUAAAAAGAACUUUUACUUAUUGCCUAAAAAUUAUUCUCUAUUUUAUUUUAUUUUUUAAAUCUAGAAAUAGAUAACAAUAAUAAAAAAAAUUAAAAAAGAAAAAUGUUUUUUAAAACUCAGACUUAUAAUUGCUUUUGUUUCUCAUUCGCACCCCUGGAUUCCUGGAUUCUAAACACAAAAUUAAGUUGAAUCGUCCAUCUAUCUUGUAAGCCAAGAAUUCACAUAGAAGAAAUAAUCGGAAUUUGAUUUGAUAUCAGAUUUAGAGUGGCUCACUACUCAUGCAUUGUCCCACAAUAGUAAUGCUUUGGGCCGAGAUAAACCCAUUUGUGGGCCCAAAUAAAACCCCUGGUUUGAAAACAUCGAUUUUACAGUGGCCCAAAAGAUUAUCUAUGAGGGGAAGAUAACUUGGAAGUCAAGCAAACACAUUUAUCGCUAACUUUUCUCUAAUUAUAAAAUUAUAACUUGGUCUUCUACACGUCUCACUUAAGAGGCGGAGCCACUUGGCACUACCUUUCCAUAUUGUAAAAGGAGAAGAAGCAGAAGGAGAAGAUUCUUAUGCCAUUCCACACACCAUGGCUAGUACUGCUAUGCUGCUUGGCCCGCCGGCUCUCCGCCAUCCUAAUUCUCCCGCCGGCACUGUCUUUGAAGAUGGGGUCAUUCUAACGGAUUCCCUGAUCGUCCGCACCAGUAAUCUGGAGCUUUCUGAAAAACCGCCACUGGAAUCCCUGGCGUAGUGCUCUGUCAGUGGGGAUAUUGCUAUGGAUUGUUUGGAUUCCCAAGCCCACAAUCUUCAUCUUCCCGGGAAACCGCCGAUGGGCUUAACGGAAAACAAGUCUCCGACCUUUUUGUCUUCCGGGAACCCGUGCUUGGACUUCUUCUUCCAUGUGGUUCCCGAUACGUCGUCUGAUGAUCUGAUCCGACGGUUUGAGUUGGCUUGGGAAUUCAAUCCGCUGACGACGUUAAAACUGAUAUGCAACUUGAGAGAGGUGAGAGGCACCGGAAAAUCUGACAAAGAGGGUUUCUACACGGCGGUUCUCUGGCUCCACGACCACCAUCCCAAAACCCUAGCCUGCAAUGCUAGGGUGUUGGCCAGCUUCGGUUAUUUCAAGGAUUUUCUCGAGAUUCUCUACCGGCUUCUGGAGGGCCCUAAAAUUCGAAGAAUCGAAAAGAAAGACUGGCUGGAUCGAAAAGGAAGGAAGAAAAAUUCCCGGAAAAGGAACUCAAUAUUCAAGCGAGAAAAUAGGCCUGGAGUUGAAUUUCCUGUAGAAGAGAAGGAUGUGGAGUAUAUGGUGGAAGAAUUUGUGGAUAAAGAAAAGGCUAGGGUACUGAGAAAGGAGAGAGAACUUGCUCUUGCCAAAAGAGCCCUGCACAAGUAUUCUACUGAUUCUAAUUAUCAGUUCUUACAUGAUCAGAUUUCAGAUUUAUUUGCUGAACUUCUGAAAUCUGAUAUUCAGUAUUUAAACUCCGGUGAGCUUUACAAGAUUAGUCUCGCAUCCAAAUGGUGUCCCACAAUUGAUUCUUCUUAUGAUAAAUCCACCUUGAUAUGUGAAAAUAUUGCUCGAAAGGUUUAUUCUCGCGAGGAAUAUAUAUCCAGAAUACCAAGGAAUUGAGGAGGCUCACUAUGUUAAUAGAGUCAGGGAUAGGUUGAGAAAACAAGUACUUGUUCCAUUACGUAAGGCCCUGGAGUUGCCAGAGGUUUUCAUGUGUUCGAACCAGUGGGGAUCACUUCCCUACAACCGUGUGGCUUCAGUGGCCAUGAAAUCAUACAAGAGCCUCUUCUCAAAACAUGAUACAGAGCGGUUUGGUGUGUAUCUUGAGAAAGUGCAAACUGGGAAGGCUAAGAUUGCAGCUGGUGCAUUACUUCCCCAUGAGAUUAUAGCUUCAUUGAAUGAGGAGGAUGGCGAGAAAGUUGCAGAGCUUCAGUGGGCGAGAAUGGUGGAAGAUUUAUCAAAGAAUGGGAGGCUCACAAAUUGCAGUGCGGUAUGUGACGUAUCAGGAAGUAUGAGUGGAACUCCAAUGAAGGUGUGUGUGGCUCUGGGGCUGUUAGUUUCAGAGCUCAGUGAAGAUCCAUGGAAAGGUAAUGUAAUUACUUUCAGUGCAAGUCCUGAGCUUCACAAGAUCCAAGGAGACAGCCUUGUAUCCAAGACUGAAUUUGUGAGGAUGAUGGAAUGGGGUGCGAACACUGAUUUUCAGAAAGUUUUUGACAGAAUCUUACAAGUAGCAGUGGAGGGAAAUCUGAGUGAAGAUCAAAUGAUAAAGAGGGUUUUCGUUUUCACUGAUAUGGAGUUUGAUGAAGCUUGUGGGAGGUAUAACUAUUGUGAAUAUGACUAUGAUAUGGAGGAAAUUGAUGAGAGUCAGAAGGCAUCUCAGAAGUGGGAGACAGAUUAUGAAGUGAUACAGCGGAAAUUCCAGGACAAAGGAUAUGGAAAAGUUCCGGAGAUAGUGUUUUGGAACCUUAGAAACUCAUCAGAGACUCCAGUGAUGGCCACAGAGAACGGGGUGGCCUUAGUAAGCGGGUUUUCGAAGAAUCUGUUAGACCUUGUUUUUGGAAGGAGGUGGAAUUCUGACCCCUCAGGAUGUGAUGGAAUUAGCCAUCUCUGGUGAAGAUUACAAGAAACUUGUUCUAUUUGAUUAAGAUAUCAAGAGAUUUAUCAAUAAUAAUAUGUUUUUUUUUUUCUAUGUGAAAUACAUGUAAUAUUAACUAUGGAGUUAUCAAAGUUCUGGAAAUUUAAUUAUUUCUUCUUUUCAAGUUUUGUUUGUCUUUGUUAGGAAUUCCCCUUGGGCGGACCCAGCUGGGGACUUGGAUUGAGGAAGUAAGGAGGCGAAAUUGUGUUCUUCUAUGGACAGAGAAAAAAGAUAAAAAUAAAAAAUAAAAAAGGAGGUUAUUUGCAUUUGGAUGUCAUGUGGUUUCAGGGUACAACUACAAGUUCGAAAUUGUACAUAAUGUGAAAAUUCCUGUGUGGAGAACAGCAUAAAUAUGUAUCUCAGUGUGUUUUGUUUGAGCUAAUUGGCAAAUUCGCUUUAAACAUGGUCACAUGGAUGCAUAUUUAUUUGUGAAAUGAUAGUAGUCGAUUACUUGGUCAGUAAGGUUUGUAUCUCUAACUCCAACAUCUUAUUGUAGUCUUUUAAAAUGUCAAAAGUUUAAUGCUAGCUUGAGAAAUUUUGGAAUGGAGACAUUCUAAACAAAGUUAAUAAUCCAUGAGACUUGGUAAAACCGAUCAGAUGAUGCUUACGUACAUGAAUGCCUUCUUUAAGCCGUAUCCUAUUUUCAUUGAAUGAGACGUGCCAUCUAGUUUUGUUCUUGUCUUGAUUGGAUCAUGAUCCCGGGAAUUGAUUACUGUUCUGAAUUUGCGAAUGUUCAAGGUAUUAGAGAAAGUUAAUAUUAUCGUUAAUUUACAUAUUAGUAUUUAUCUAGUUAUUAUAUAUUAGUUUGAAUUAUAAUAUAAUAUAGAAUUUGAAUCAAGUUUACUAUUAGUUUGAAUUACAAUAGGAAAUAAAGUUUGAAUUAUAGUAUAACUCAAAUAUAUUUGUAUAUAAAUAUCCAUCUUUAUCAAUGAGAAUAGUAAACCAUAUUUUUCUCUAUCUUCUUCUUUCUCUAUAUAUAUGGUAUCAAAGCCUCCAAAUCCUAAACCUAGUCUCAACUUAGAGCAAAUUUAGGGUGCAGGGUUUAGGCCCCGCCUCCCCCAACCCUUACCACAAAUGGUAGUGACCUUGUUAUGCCUAUGUAUUGUCAAUGCCUCAUUUUCUAUGGUCUUCAAUACAAUAUCUAGUUUCAAUGUCUCUUUCCUUACUAUCUCCAAUGCAAUAUAUUGAUUUCAAUAUCUCUUUACAACCAAGAGCUCCAAAUUUUCCUGGUUCAAAUCUACCAUAAUUUUUAUUCUCCUUUGCUUUUUACCAAUAUUAGUUCCCCUAAUUUAAUAUAUAUCUCUUUAUUACCUUCAACUCUACCUCUCUCUUUCUUUAAAAGCUUCCUCAAAGAUUUGAUUGCUUUCUUGCAUGUUUUGGGAAAACAAACAUGCUCAUAUUCUAUUACCUCUACUUGAGAUCUGCCUUAUACUCUACCUUCUUCUUUACCUCCUAUAUCAUCUACUACAUUAGCUUCAAAAACAUUAUUUAGUUUGAUGCUAAAUAAGGCUCCUAAUCCUACCCUUCCUUCAACUAACUUUCUUUUACAAGUCCCUCAAAGUUUUUUUUUUUUUUUUUUUGGAAAUUUGGCUUAGAAAGAUUUCAUUACUCUUACCUAAUCUUUCAACCAUCAAGUCGAAUCCACUUAUCUCUUGAAUCCAAGGAGACUACCCUCCACAAAAACAAGGAGAUUGACCCCCACAAUAACAAAGAGAUUGUCCUCCAUAGAAACAAAGAGAGCUUCCUUCAUGGAAGCCGAAUACAUCGCAAUCUAUUUUCUUUCUCUCAAGAUCAAAUCUCCAAUCGGAGCUCCAUCUUGUGGGGAUAUAUUAGAAAAAGUUAAUAUUAUCCUUAAUUUACAUAUUAGUAUUUAUCUAUAUUAUAUAUUGAAUUAGAAUAGAAUAUAGAAUUUGAAUUAAGUUUACUAUUAGUUUAAAUUACAAUAGGAAAUAGAGUUUGAAUUAUAGUAGAACUCAAAUAUAUUUAUAUAUAAAUAUCCAUCAUUAUCAAUGAGAAUAGUAUUCCAUAUUUUUCUCUUUCCCUGAGGCUUCAGAAUGUGAUCUUGAACAUUUGAUCUUUUGGAUUCUUCUUGUUUCGGUGGUUUAAUAUAAUGGAAUGUUUAAUUAUAGCCUACUUUAUCACCAUGGAUGUGCUCCUGCAGAUUUCUUGAGGGUGAUGGUUAUUUUGUCAUGUUUCUUGAAUGGUUUGCAUCAGCUGCCUGAGCUGUUGUUGCUGGUCACUUUUGCAACCAGGGAAAGAAUCAUGGCUUUGGAGAAGCCAGCUUCUGUUUUUGUUGCCCAGCUGUUAGUUCACUAAGAUUGGGGGUCCUAACAUGUAUGUAUAAUCAUAAGCAAGGAAAUUUUAUGUCUUACGCUAGAUAGGUACCAUGAUAUGAUGUUUGAUUGAUUUAUUAACUCUACCUGUUUCAAAAGGCAUCAACAUUAAUUUUACCCUUUUAACACAUUGGAUUGUUUGACCUUACGAGAUUUUCUAUUUCUGUACUAUUUGAACUGCAAUCGUUAUGGUCCUUAGGUCUCUAAACCUUCGUUUAAAAUAAAAGUAAGGAGCACACAUAGUAAAAGUUAAUUUUGGGUAACUUUUAAAACAAAGAGAAAAGUAAAAGUUGUUUUUGAGAAAAACAUAUAGAAAUUGAAAGAUUUUUUAUUUUGAGAAAAAAAAGUCAUAGAAAAGAAAUAAUAUCCCCAUAUAAGUAGAUAUGAUCUAUCCGAAGUGUAGCUACUCUCCUGGAUUUAUUCUAACAUUUUAAAAUUUUUCUCAAUGGGCAAAGGAAUAUCAAAUCAAGCUUGAGUAGGAUUAAUUUCUUAAUUUUUAAAAUAACUUAUAAUUAAAAUUUUUUGGUGUUUUCUUUUUUGGACAAUUUUUUAUGAAGACUCUGAAUCAUGCAAGAGAUAUGGUUAUUUUAAAAAAAAAAAUAAUUUAAAACUCAAAUACAUAAUCAAUGUCACAAAUUUAUAAACAAAAGGUUUUUAAAAAAUACUAUUAUUUCCCCUCUACACAUAAUUUUACUUUUCCGAUUUAUUUAUUUUUGUUGGAAAACAGUCUUCAAAUCAAGUAAAAUUAAUAUGUUAAAUUUGUUAAACAAAUAAAUUUUAAAAUACAAUUUGGAACUCAAAAAUCAAUUCAAGUAAUGCUAAAAUUCAAAAAAUCAAAUUUGGAAUAAAAUGACUUUGUAAAUUUUUUUACUAAACAAAUGAAUUUUAAAUCAAGUGAGAUUUAAUACAUUGGAUUUUUAUGAGAAUAGUAAUUUUAAAAAUUAAUUUGGAACUCAAAAAUAGACACAAUAAAUACCAAAAAUCAAUGAACCAAAAUUGGUUUGGAAUAACUCCAUAAUUUUUUAUUUAUUUAUAUAUUUAUUUUUUUGUGCACACGAAUUUCUUACUAAGCAUAUUGCUUCCAAAUUGAGAAAAAUUUACUAUUUAGAUUUUUUUAAUGAGUUUAAUGGUAUUUAAAAAUAAUUCAAAAAUUCGAAAAUUGACUAAUUUAAUAUUAUAAAUUCAUAAACCAAGACUAAUUCAAAAUGCAUUGGGGGCUAAGGGGGUUGAAAUUAAUGCUCCAUUUGGUUGUGGCCACCAAUUGGCAAUGGCCACCAAUCAACCAAUCAAGGUGGCUAAGGGGGUUGAAAAUAGGGACAAUGGGGUGGGUUUGGGACAGGACACUCAUAUCCCAUUCCCAUCCCAAUUACACAGUUAUUUCCCAUCCUUAUUCCAAACUUGUGUUGGGGCAAGUUGAUUUGUUCCCAUCUUUGUUAACGAAAUGACUAAUAACCUCAUCCUCUCCUUGUCUUAGAUGUACAUUUUCUCAAAUUUGGUCAGGUAUGAUUGAUUCAAGCCCUAACCUUAAUUGGUAAUGAGUGGAUACCACACCUAAUUGCAUUCUUCUUUCGUUGCAAAAUAAUGAGAUUAUAAUAAUCUAGCAAAUAAGAAAAAAUAGUAUGGAAGUUCAAAUUAACACCAUAACUAUCAAUAAUUUUAAGCUUAUAGAUGACUUAAAUGAUUGAAAACUAAUGCAAAAUACUAAAAAAAAAAAAAAUCAUCUAAAGAAUUCACAAGAGAAUAGAACGAACAAAACCAAAUAGGAACAUGGGUCAACAUUAGUUACAGAUUUUGAUCCCUUUCAAGGCCAAUCUUUGAACCAAGACUUCAUCAAAUCUACUACUUCAAAGGCUUUUGUGUUCUUCUUGAGUUGUACUCUGGAACAAAGACUUCGAGGUGAUGCUUUAGAUGAUUGCAUUACACAUAUUUAGGGUAGGGAGAUUGGAGAAGCUUGAAGAUGCCAACGAUGGGUACAAUUGAGUGGUCAAUAAGAACAAUGUGGCCUAUGACUAGUUUGAUGUCAUGGUAUAGGAGUUUUGGGCAUUGAGGUGAAAGCAAGAGCAACAUGGAAUUGAUUUCAAAGUCUUUCAAUUAGUGUAAAGGAGGAAGAAGAAGUGGUAUUGAUCCUAGAAAUAGUGUUUUAGGUGUUGCAUUAGAGGAAAAGAAAAAGAAAAAGAAGGAACCAUUGGAAUUAGUACGAGUGUGAAGAGAGAAGUGUAUACAUAAGGGGAAGUAAAAGCAAAGUUCUAAAAAUUUAUUUUUUUAUUGGUGGUGUAUGGUUGCAUGAUUAUCCCUAUAAAUAAUAGGAGUUUUUUGGUGUUCUACUAGUAGUUGAAGGAUAAUUUCAUAAGAUAAUAUUUAGAGCGGGGUGGGGUGAGUUGUGACAAAAUCCAUACCCGUCCCAAACAUUGGUUCAGGUUUUUAAAAUAUUUUCAAACUUAUCAUAUACCCAAUUUUAUAUUUCAUACUUGUCCUAAUAGAGACAGGUUAGUCAGGGUUACUUGAGUAGCCUACAAAACUAUCAUCCCUAGUUGAAAUGCUCUUUUUGGCAGUGGCAGCUAGAAGCUCGAUCGAUUGACCUACAAGACUAGUUGUCAUCAUUUUAAAAAGAGUUUUGGCUUUGGUUGUGAGUGCAAUUGAAUCUAAACUAACAUUUCCUUAAUGCAUCUACUUCAAUCCUAAACUUCUUACUUAAGCCUCAAUUGUUGUUAAGAUUUUGGAAAACCCAUUUCCUUAAAUUGUAAAUUUAAGAAAAAAAAAAUUAAAAGUGAGACAUUUCUUGAUUGAAUGUUGUUAAAGGUCCCUUGGAAUUAAGACUUGGUUGAAGCCUUGGAAGAUUAGCAGAACUCUCAACUUAUGUUUGAACCUUGAGGAGAGUGGACGUAGGCCAAAAUUUUGUCAAACCAUUAUACAAAUUGAGUUUGAAUUCUCAUUUCUUGAUUUCUUAUUUAUUUGCUUUUUCUUAUUAUUACUUGAAUUGUCAUUUGCAUUCAUUAAUGUUAAAAUUGGUUAUAAUUAGCCAACACUAAUUCUCUUUCCCCUUCCCUUAAUUUCUUGGGUGUAAACCUAGGUUGGAUUAACUAGAUUUUAUCAAAUCUAUUAAGAUGGUAAAAGAAUAAUUAUUCUUAACAUACAUAAGAUCAUCUUCAAUCAAAUGACUCAUUGGCUGAUAUGUUGAAUUUGCUUAUUACUUGCAACUCAAAAUUGUGUUCUAGUUGAUAUGUCAAGUCCUGAGUGUAUGGACAUUAAAUUUGUAGUACGUGAUGAGUAUUUAGAUGGUCCAAUUCCAAGAAAGUGAUUGAAAACUAGUUCAAGAAAGGUGCAAAAGGGAAUUGUUUUGGUAUUUUCGUUUUUAUUCUUGAAGGUGGCAGAGCUAAAAUUUGAGAAAUCAAGCAAAACAUACUGAAAUUACAUUGAAAGAAAGAAAAUGGGAGUUAAUGUCUUGCAGUACAUGAUAAGGACUUCAUGCAUGUAGUGUGACCCAUGUCUUGGACUGAUGCCACACUCACGGUUACACUUAUACCCUUAGUUCUCUCUUUACUACCUUAGCUAACCUAGAUCAGGUUAUGAGAUAGGCACCUCACCACACCAUUACUUGCCCAUUAAUUAGUGACAUUUUCAAGCAAUGAGGUAACAUGGUGACACCAAGAGGGUAUAUUCCUCACCCCCAACAAGCCUAGACCUGGUCUAAAAAAAAUGGAGAAAAAUGACGUGUUGUUAUGCAGAAAUAUAGCAACCAUGCCUUCCUCAUUACUUAGAUUCAGAAUGUGAAGGUGAAAUUGAGAAACAGAAACUCUUGAAACCAAAAUGAAAAUUGAUACUUUUACGAAGAAUUACAACAACAUUAGAGGAAGACUACAUUCUUCCUCUUUAUUCCUACAUUUCUACACUACUUCUACUCCACUCCAUAUUUCUACAUACAUCUUUAAUCAGUCUUCCCUCCUUUAUAUAGAGCCAUCUUCACACAAAUUCCGCAAGGUAGAAAAGAGGAAUGAAACUUGGAGCAAGGUUCGACUACUGGCUGUAGCUUGUCAAGGCUGAAAGUGAACUUUUUUUCUUGGCUUUUCUGGGCAUAGGUAGUAACUUGUAGGUUCCUUUUUGGAAUGAAAAUGGUACGGCUAGAACAUGUGGCACUCUCUUGUUGGAUGAUGUGUCAAGCAUGUGGCAGCCAUCUAGUGGAGAUUAUGUCAAUUUUGGGAUGGAGAGUUGGCAUCCAAUUGCAAAGAAAUAUGACAUCUACCAACAUGCAAUGUCAACCUAUGUAGAUCAUAUGAAGAUAGAGAGGAAAAAUAUAGAAAUGGAUAUAUAACUAGAACUAGCUUUUUAUUAAAUGAGACGGAGAGCCAACAAUGAAGGAAAAUCAAAAUUUUUGGCUCAUAUCAAAGAAUUCACAUUGUGUUACCCUAGGUUUUCUUAAAACUUACUUUUAUGAUAAUAAAAAAUCAUUAUUGUUUAAUCCUUUGUUUUAAACGCAUGUUUAGCAGGUUGUAAAAUGUAAAUAUCUUUCGAAAUUCAAAUAUGAAGAUAUGACAUCAUUUCAAGCAAUAUAGUCUCUAGGAAUUAAUGUAAAGCUAAAUUAAGGUGCAAUUAAGUUAGUUCAAUGCAUUAUUUUAAGAAACUUGACCUAUCAAAACCUUGUCUUACUUCAAAGCCUCUUUUUCUUUUCUUCCAACUAACAUUUUAAUAAGUGAUCGCAAAAGUACAAAAUUAGAUGAAAUCCAUUUCAAUGGUUAAAAUGAUCAAAUUCAAACUUUUUCUAAGUAUCUUUUAAAAGCAUCAAUAUUGAAAGACAAUUUUAUAUUUAGUCAAAGCUUGGACAGAGCCAAAAAGCACACAAAAAUUUAUAUUUUCUAGCUCUCUACCUUGGAUGGUCUCUUGAUCCUACUUGGAGAUGUGCAUAAAUAAAAGGAUUUGAAAAUGACAAUUGACUAAGUAUGUAGUCAAUCAAUUACUCAUUGAUUGACUAGUUGAUCAAUUAACUUUGCAACAUCAUAUGCAAUCCUAAUAGCUAGUCAUCUAAUCAACUAGGUAGUAAAUCAAUAGGCCAAAAAUAUGUUUAUAAUGACUAUUUUGUACAAAAACCACUUAUAUAGUUAAAUAUAAUGCAUUUCAUUUAUAAAUCUUCUAAUUCUUGAAUAACAAUCCUAUCAUCCUUUGAAAGUUUUUAUUACACCUUUUCUACAUUUGUUCUAAAACUUAUACAUCACCCUUAAUUGUACCAUGAGAACCUAGCAUUUUUUUUUUUUUUUUUGUAUUUCAUCAAAGUUAGCUCUUGUACUCAUUGUUGUAUUAUUUUUAUUGUAACUUAGAGAGCGAGUGUUUUCAAGUGAGUGAAAUUGACUUGUAAAUAUUGUAAAGAUUCAUUGAUAUGUAUCUCAAACUAGGUGUACAAGUUGAAACAUUUGCUAGUAGAUUUUCUCAAGAUUUAGAAUGAGCUUAAGGCUAUCGAAUUAGGUGGGGUUGCGCCAAACCAUAUCACAUCGUUGUUUGCACCUUUUUUUUCACUCUCUUUUACUUAGUUGCUCUAUAUAUAUUGUCUAGCAAUAUCCUAAAGGCUUGAUGGGCUAGGGAGCAUCCCUCUGAAUGAAAAAUUUUCAUUCAAUUCUUAGUUGUAUUACGCAUAUAUAAAAUGCCUCAUUGUUUUAAUGGUAUUCAGUCGUGGCACCACAGAUAUGGACAUCUAAAUUUUAAAAGUUUGAAACUUUUAGCUAAAGAAAAUAUGGUGCUUUGCCUUUUUGGAAAGCAUGUUGAUGAAAUCCAUGAGAAUUGUAUACUUGGAGAGCAACAUCGAGAUAACUUUUUUUUUUUCUUUUUUUAUAAUGCAUUGUUUGUCCAAAUUCCGUACAAAUUAGGCCACCACAUGUUCAUAAUUCUCCCUUCUUGAAUUUGAAAACUCGGACAAUUUGACAAUGCGACACCUAAGUCCGGUUUUUAAAUGCUAAAGUGAAAGGGCAGGUAUGGACCAUUGAAAUGUGAUAACAACUUUUGGCCUUUUCCUUUUCUCUGUAGCCAUGUUGUCUCUUUUUAAUUUCUUUUGCAUGAUUUUCUUACCUAAACAGAAUCAUAGACUUGUUUAAUCUCUAAGUGGGAUUUCAUCCACCUUAAGCUACUGUAUUAUAUCUCGGUGGAGGACAACCGACAUAGAGCACAUGCAAGUGGGUAUAUGGGACAUGAAAUAUCUUCUUAUAAAGCUUGUUUUGCAGUUAAAUUAAUUGGAUAAGUAGACACUGGCGUUUCUAAAUUUCCCACCUAAGAUAAUGACCUUAUCCUUGACUGCUAGAUACACAAACAAUUAUACCUUCAAAAUCUACUGUGAAGUGCUUCAUGUAUGUGUGAAGUAUUAGAAAUUUCUUUCUUGGCAACUUGUUUUUUUCUUUGCGGUCUACUGAUAGGUUUGACUAAAAUUAUAUUCCCUGUCCUGCUAAUUAAUUUUCACGUGCAUGCUCAAAAGAAGAGUAUGACCUUAGUGCACCAAAAUCACUUUCAAUAAUUUGUGAUAAGUUUUUUUGCAUGACAUUAACCUUAUUCAUUUAGAUAAUGUUUAGUUCUCAUAAAUAUUAAGAAAAUGAAAAUAAAUAUUAAGAAAAAUAUUCUUAUAUUUGAUUGUAUUAUGAAAAAUAUCAUAAAAAAUCAAAUAUAAUUAAAAUUAAUUAAUAAUUUAUAUAUUUUAAAAUUAUUUAAUUUUUAUAUUAAAGAUAUAAUAUAAAUGAAAUGAGUUUUAAGUAUUAUAUAAAAAUGAUUUAUUUAUUUAUUUAUAUAUAUAUAUAUAUAUAUAUUUAGUUUUUCUCUUUAUUUUAUUUUCCUUAUGUUUUCCUCACAUUUUCCGGAAUCAAAGAUAGGGAAAUCCACAAUUACCUUCAACUGAGUAGAUUCUAUUGUUUUAGCAAUGUUAGGCUGCUAACUUGUGGUGGUACGAACCAAAUGAUCCAUGUUAAUCUUGGCUUGAUUUAAUUUGGCUCUAUCUCAGAGAACUCAAGGAUCACGUCAACUCUGGUUUCUACUAUUCAGGUCCAUUCCCAGAUGAACUGGUUCAAAUUUGAGAAAAUGGUAACAGACCUUUAGUGAUAUUGGUUUGGAGCCAGUUGCCAAACCUGCCCUGAGCUUUACCACUAAUGUCAAGGGACAAAGCCAUUUGAACAAAAACAAUAGCUUCAAGAGACUGAAUCGUGGAUGAAAUCUGAUCCACAUUUCUUCUCAUUUUGGGAAAAAAUGAGGACUUAACCACAAAGAUUCUACUGCCUCAUAGUGCUUUUCCUGAUCUAAGGUUGGCUCGUUUCCCAAAUUGUGAGGUGCACGUGCCACUCUCACGCUCAGGAGUGUAUCCACGUGGUGGACAUAAGAUGGUGGCUUAAUAUCUGGUGUCGGUGGCUUUACUUUACUAGGAGAGUAGUGUGUCUUCAUCUCAUUCACUGCCAGAGGGUGGCGUAAGCAGUGACGCUAAGGUGGGGCACAGUCAAUAUCAUUUGCAUUUGACCAUUAUAAUUUUCUCCCGGCUUUAAAGUAACCUUAUCGUGAUAAUGGAUUACUAGCACUAGUUCAGAUGACAGUCAUGUUAAAUUCGGACCAUGUUUGUGUCACAUUAUCAGCAACCAUGUGCUUGUGGUUCAUGCUAUCUGCAACUAAACUUGAUAUAUAACCAGGUGAACUUCAAUCUAAAUUCUGGAAGUACUCAUGUGAUAGAUGGUGCCUGUCUGCAGUGAGUGUAUCUAUAAGAGGGAAGGCUUGGCAAAUGUUCAGUUUUCUGGGAAUUCAACAGGGAUCUAAAAUAGAUUGUUUUCUUUGCUGAUUUCAAUGGUUGAAAUUUGAGAAGAUUGUGUCCACAUAACACAACUAUUACUGGUCCUUCUGUUGCAAUUUAUCCUCUAAGGCUCUAACAUGUCUUCCAAUUCCCACUUCCCACUUCCCUGUUACUCCAGGAAAGCUGUUUCUGUCAUUGUGAAGAAGAAAAGAGACUGUACAUAUCGAUGCUUUUAAGUGGACUGGAGAAUUCAUAUCAGGUGGUCUGCAGCCAUACAUGCCACUUUGUGAAGGUUGGAACAGUCAAUCACUAGGCUAUAUUAGUGGGGCCCAGCCACUUCAAUCAAGGACAAGUCUUCAUACUUAAAGUCAAAUUCUGCCUUUAGUCUCAUUAUAAAUUGCUGUUUAAAUAUCAAGCAAACAUUUGUUUAAUGCGAUUAAGACAGCACUAACUCAAUACUUGUUCUAUUUUUGGAUGCAAAUGCUUGAUAGUUUCAUCAUUGGAGGGGAUAAAGGUGCAUUCAUGAUUAUGAAUACUUGUAGUUAUAUUUUCAUUCUCUUUUUUCUCAAUGGGACUUGUUGGCACAAUUUUGCUGUUCAGAAACCUACCUCUCCAUGGAAAAUCAGUUGUGAUUGAUAUUACUGGAUAUAUUCAAGAAAGCUAAAUGUAGAUAGCACAAAAUAUUAUCGACAUAAAUAGCAUUAACAGCGUACGUAUGUCUCAAUGCUCAUCAGCUAUAAGCAAGGGGCAAACACUUACUAUGAGCAACUUACGUCAAAAUUCCGGAAUAGGACAUAGAAGUGACAGGUCAGUAAAUAUAGAACACUGCAUAUGAGUCACAAGAAAGGAAAUUACGGGUACAUAGCAGCUCUUAUUUUACAUCCUACUCAUACUGAUCAAAGUCACUCAGUUGGGAUGGGUGGGAGUGGGAGGUUUGUGGGGUGGCUUGUGCGGAGGAGUUGGCAGCUUCUUUCCAGGACCUGGUUGCUUCUCUGCUGGAGUUGAAGGAGGCUUAAUCUUCCGAGGUGGCUUGUAUGAGUCUUCAGCAUUCUCAGCAGGAGGGUGACCAGGGUUGUGACCACAAUGUGGUGGCUUCUCUCCCUUAGGUGGUUUGCCAACUGGGGUUGGUGGCUUGUGUUCCGGAAGUGGCUUCUCUUUGUGUUCAGGAGGUGGCUUCUCCACUGGAGGCUUGUGUUCAGGAGGUGGCUUCUCCACCGGAGGCUUGUGUUCAGGAGGUGGCUUCUCCACCGGAGGCUUGUGUUCAGGAGGUGGCUUCUCCACCGGAGGCUUAUGCUCUGGUGGUGGCUUCUCCACCGGAGGCUUAUGCUCUGGUGGUGGCUUCUCCACCGGAGGCUUAUGCAAUGGUGGUGGCUUCUCCACCGGAGGCUUGUGUUCAGGAGGUGGCUUCUCUACCGGAGGCUUAUGCUCUGGUGGUGGCUUCUCCACCGGAGGCUUAUGCUCUGGUGGUGGCUUCUCCACCGGAGGCUUGUGUUCAGGAGGUGGCUUCUCCACCGGAGGCUUGUGUUCAGGAGGUGGCUUCUCCACCGGAGGCUUGUGCUCUGGUGGUGGCUUCUCCACCGGAGGCUUAUGCUCUGGUGGUGGCUUCUCCACCGGAGGCUUGUGUUCAGGAGGUGGCUUCUCCACCGGAGGCUUAUGCUCUGGUGGUGGCUUCUCCACCGGAGGCUUGUGUUCAGGAGGUGGCUUCUCCACCGGAGGCUUAUGCUCUGGUGGUGGCUUCUCCACAGGAGGCUUGUGUUCAGGAGGUGGCUUCUCCACCGGAGGCUUAUGCUCUGGUGGUGGCUUCUCGAAUGGGGGAUGCGUAGGGUAAUCAGCUAGUGAGGGGGCGGUGAGAACCACCAGGCCAAGCAACACUACUAGCAAGUAUGUAGGAGACAUCUUUGGGUUUGGGCUCAGAUGGUGCAAAACUAGGAGAAUUGGCUAGCCUUUUAUAGCGGAUCGUACCCAAUAAUGAAAUGACACGUGUCAUUAUGACCCAUGUGUCAUGUGGUCGAUUUGGGUCCUACAGUGUUGAAAACUUCGACAUCCACUUUUUUGGCCUUUUGCUUUCUCUACAGUCGCCUUGCUUUUUCCCUCUUUUCUUUUGUUUUCCUCCUGCCCCAUUCUAUCAACUAAUCACAAUUAUGUAGUUGUUUAAUUCUUAAAUGAGAUAUUAUCCGUCAAUCAUAUUAUCUUUUAUCAAGAGAGAACGGAGUGAAAAGUGGCAAUCCAAAGAAAGAAGAUCCAUAAUGCAGCUGUAAUUUUAUCGUUUACUUUUAUCUCUAGGACCACUGCAUUUUUGUUGAGAGGUGCAAUAAUACACGUCUUUAUCUGCCAUUCAAUGUUUACAGUAAAGAGAGGGCACAAAACUCUUCACUGCUCUGCAUGUGCCCCAAAAAUGCAAUUGGACAAAUUAUGAUUUGCAUGCUAAAAAGAGGCAAAUGAGGUUAAUUAGCACCAAAAUUAUUUUGUUUUCUGGACACCCCGGGGCCCUUUGGUUGGUUUGGGGGUCAGAAAAUGAACAUCAUAGGGGGUUUUUCCCUAAUGUGCAUUUGCAUUUGUAUCUGAUGGCUUUAACUCGCCUUGUUACUACAAAGAAAUUGUCACAGAUAGGAACUUAUUCCAGGCUGAGUAUCUCCGCAUGGACCCUAUAAAAGAAGACAAGUCAUAAUGAACAUCUAACCUUUGUUCAAUUUGAUUCAAUGCCCCUAUUGUGUCCAUCUCACAAAUCUGAAUUAUUAUAUCCAUUGAAUACAUAAAUUAAUGAAGAAAAUAUGAAACCCAAGAUACAUCUCUGCACAACCUCAACCCUGGUUGCUAUGUUUCACUUCUAUUCACAUGAGGAUAUUGAUUACGGAAUAAGGAAACCUAGCAAGGGUUUACUCGGCUCUGGUUUGAUGCUAAUUGCCAAACUUGCAACAAGCCCUGAGUUUGACACCUAAUCGAUGGGCGAAUUAAAAGUCUCCUCCAAACAUAUAUUCCACAGCUUGAAGCUCACAGAAGAUGCUAUACAGGCAGGGAAAAACCUUCAGAGUUAGCUACCAAAGAUAAUUAUCAAGGAGAUAUCACCAAGAGAAUUCCAUGGAGUCUGAAUCAAAGACAAAUUGCUCGCUCGUGGGGGUUCUUACUUAAUUUCUUUUGGGUAUAACUCACUGAGGGCACUGGCUUUGUUAUUUGCAUUUCGCAUUUAGAGUUCUGUUCUGGAAGGUUUGUUCUGGAAACAUAUAAAAGGAGCAUCAUUUUGUUCUAGGGUAACCCAUAGUUGUGAGUGGGUCCAUUUGCAUGCUACUUAGUUGAAAAGUUGGACAAUUUGCUCCGACGCCUACCUCCUGGAUUCCAUGCUCGGAUAAAGCAAGAAUAAUAAAAUAUUUAUAAUUUACAAAUGGGGGAAAGAAAAAAAUGUCAACAACAAACUAGGAAAAAAGAGUAGUAAAAUUUAUGCCACAUGCUAUUGAUAGAAGGGGCAUGUAUUAGAUCCAUCACCAUUUGGUAAGAUUUUAGUAUUAUAUUUUUCAAGGUUCAUUAUUUGAGGGUGUGUUCUUCAUCUCUGUUGCAUUGCUUCUUACUAGGCCCACUGAGGUGGGUUCUUCACCUUUUGUAUAUUCUCUGCACUAGAUCAAUGAGAAAGGGGGAAUUUUGGUGAAUUUGCAGCCGUUGGAUGAUUGAUUCUAGGCUCAGUCCACCAAUGAUGCUCUCUUCACUCUUUCUCAUCUAGUGUCAUUCACAACUAUGUUUUGAUUCAUAUUUGUACUAUCAAAGAUAUCUCAUUAUUCUAGCUCAUUAGGUAGAGUUCCUAAUCUUCCUCCUUUUUGGUCUAUGGACAGUAUUGGCUUCAUAUUAAGAUCAUGUUUCAAUAAUUGCACAUUAAUGAAUGGAUCAUGACCCACAUAAACAGAGUCAGGGUUGAGUCAGUGAACCCUAAAAUUUCACAAUUCUAAAUUUGGGUUCUUUAACAAUGCAGGGUCAAGGACGCGUGGUGAUGAAGGAAAGCUGGUAAGCUCAGUGUUACUUCAAUUCCUGCCAUGUAGGAUGGUGAGGAGAUAUUCACUAUGCAAUUAAUAAUAGACAAUAUUCACUAUGCAAUAAUAAAGCAUAAAUUAAGUUGAAUGAAAAGCAUUUUCUUUGCAAGGAGUUGAUUUUGGUUUCAUAGUUUGUUCAACUGCUAUUUUGGAUAGGAAAGUGUGAGGAGAAGAAAAUAAAAAAUAAAAAUAAAACAAAAAAUAAAAAAUAGAUUUUAUAAAUUCAUUUAAUUUAUUUUUUUUUUAUAAAAAUUAACUAAUUUAAAAUAUAUGUAAAUUUCUAAUUAAUUUAAUUACAUUUUUUUUUUCAGUUUUUCAUAAUAAACCAAAUAUUAGAAAAUUAUUUUUAUUAAGACACCCAAGAUGAGGUAAUAUGCAAUGAAAACAUGAAUUAUAUUAAAAUUCAAAACAAAUUAAGAGAAAUCGGAAAAUAUACAUAGAUAUCUAAACAAAGAAAUUUAAAGAGAAGGAACCACAAACUUUAUUUACAUAAUUUGAAAAUAAAAAACAUAAAACAUACUUAUAGUAAGGAGAAAUUGAAUAUCUUACAAUGGAAGAAGGGAGAAAAGCUUUGAAGAAAGCUUUUGCUUGGAAGCUUACAUGGUGAGAGGUAGAGAAAGGAGAGAGAGAGAAGAAAAUGAAAAAUGAGAAGUGGAGAAAAUUGGAAGUUUUGUGUGCUUACAACUGAGGAUAGAGCCUCCUUAAAUAGCAAAAAAUGGAAUAUUAAAUAGUACCAAUCAGGAGACAAAAUAUUGUUUGCUUUUGAAACCCGUGCAUGAAUAGUAAUCCCGUGAGUGAAUAGUGAAUAAUAAAAGUGAAUAGUAAAAGUCACUUUCUACUAUAGCACUUUAGACUUUUUCAUCGAGAAUCUUACUUUCGGCUGAGUGAUGAUAGCUGAUAGGUUGCUUUGGAUUGUGGAGUCAUAUGUUUGAUGUUUUCGGUGCUGAAACCGCUUAGUUGGAGAAUAAUCUCGUCAGUAGAGCAUCAUGAGAAGCUUGAAUGGAGAGAGCUUAAUGAUGCCAUAUGAUUGGAAGGAAUCCUAUUUUAAUUUCCUUAUUGGAGGGAGAAUACCCUCACAAUCAUCUUCAUUAUCUUGAAGGUAGUUUGAUAUAGAGUCAUCUGACUCAGCAUAAGAGUCCUCUUGGGAGAAGCUUGAACUGCUUUUGUCAAGGAUUUUCUGAAAUUCUUGAGGGGUUUUUGCUAUUGCUAACAUGGUUUGGAGUUGCUGUUUCUUAAGAAGAAACUGUGCAAUAUCAUAAGAUGAUGAAGCUUGUGUAGGAUGCUUUAGGAAAUAUUGCUUUAUUGCUUGUAGUGAGGUAUCAUUUUUCAAGGCAUCCCACCACUUAGACUUGAAAGUCCUUCCAAGGGUUGGAAAGGCUGCUGAUUCAUCUGCUAUAAUGAUAUAAUCCCACUGGACUAUCCAGGCAAGGCCAAAUUCACUAAAAAAGAAUAAUAAUUGGGGAAAACUGAAAGUUCUCUAGGGAUAACAAAAGAACUUUGGAAUAGCUCAAAGCCAUCCAAAAUGGGUUUUGGGAGAAUUUUAAUAGUUGGACCAAAAUAUGUCCACCAAUUGUGGAACCAAAAUGGAAAAGAGGGGAGUUGAUGCUUAGAUGGGAAAUAGAACAUCCCUGAAUGAUGGAAGUCCUUGUUCUGGAUCAGAAAAGCAUUGAACCAUACUCUUUGGUAGUCUCAAUAAUUGAAAAUUUUAGGUUUUGAAGGCUUAGAAAAUUCUCUUGAAAAAUUAGGAUUCCCACCCCACUGCUUAACUGUAAGGAUUUUAUAAAUAUGGUAAGUGGAGAAUGCCAAAUCCAAAUUGCUGAAUUUAUCAGCAUUGUGCUUGAUUUUAACAGAGCCGGUUUCCAUAAGGAUUGCUUCAUAAAAUUCUCUUGUUUUUAAAAGAUCACCAAAGGGAUAAUGAAAAUUUUCAUGAAAAGCUUUUGCUGCAAUAUCUCUAGGGUUUUUAGAGAAAAACUCUUUUUCAAUAACCAAAAGAGGUUGAUUUAAAUCUUUUUGCCAAUAUCUUGCUUUUGCUGAAAGAGGUGUGGGGUUGGCUACCACCACAAUUUGCUUAUUUGAAAAAGAAGAGCUUGAUGCUAAUUCAUUUUGAGAGGGAUUAGCUUUAGUAACCUGCUUAAAGGUCUGAGACACAGUAAUAGUUGGAUACUGAGUAGCCUUGACUGGUUUAGAAGGAUUCGAAGGAUCAUAGUACAAGGACAAAAUCUUAUUAGGCAUAUGGUCAGAAGAAUGAAGCCUUGCUUCUUCUUCUAGCUCAACUUGUUGGCUCCAAAGUAUUUUAUGGGGAGAAGGUUCUUUGCUGGUUUUAGAAGACUAGGAUUCUGGAAGUUUAGGAGCUUGGGUAUUCUUUUUAGGGGCCAUGGUUUCGUGAAUCCUGUAAAAUUCACAAGUUAAGAAAUCAGGGCUCGAAGAAUGUUCUCCUUUAAUAUACUCAAUUUGUAAAUUAAAAUUGCUUAAAAUAGCUUGAUAUAUAGCAAAAAUAUGCUUAGAAGUUAUAUUCUUAACAUCCUUUUGUAAAACUAAUUUUGCAAAUUUACAAUCAACUCUUAAUAAAAACUUUUGAUUCAAAAGAUCAUCUUGAAAUUUUGAAAUGCAUAAAACAACGCUUAAAGUCUCUUUUUUAAUGAUGUUAUGAAUGAGUUGGGUAGUAUUCCAGGUUCUUGAAGUAUACCUAACUAACAUCUCAAGGUUACCAACACUUUGCUUAAGAAUCCCACCAUAACCUAUGUCUGAGGUAUCGAUCCCAACAAACUCAAAGGUUUCUGGAUUGAUAGAGCCUAAACAUGGUAGGGUCUUGACUUUGGACUUAACAUCAAUAAUGAAAACAAUGGUGAAAACAGAAAACUGGUUAAAGUUUUCAUCCAUUAUAUUCUGGAAUUCUGAGGUGCAUUCUUAAGAUCAAAGGGCAUUAUGAACCAUUCAUAAUGUCCAAGAGAUACCACAAAGGUGGUCUUAUUUGGAAUAGGACACCUAAUCCAACUUAAUGUAUCAUUAAGAGGCAUGUAGUUGACGACUAGUCUAGGUGUUCCUUUUUCUGAUUCAACUUGUUCCUGAACAUAGAAGGUUGAACAACUCCAAAGGGACUUAGACUUCCUUAUCAACUUUUUAUCAAGAAGAUCCCAAAUCUCCUUAUCACAAUAGCUUAACAAACCCUUGUUCAUCUGGAUAGGUCUUGAUUUAGUGGGAAUAUUCUUGUCACUAAAGUCUAGUUCAUAAGGUAAUUCUACCUCAUGUUGUUUCCUAUGCCAAAAUGCAUUAGGAAUGUUAGAGCAAACUUCUUCAACAAUCAGAUUAAUUUCUUGCUCAUGACUUUCCUUAGCUUGAAUCACCUGAUCCCUUAAGGUGUUUAUAUUUUUCUUAUUAGGUGGUUGGCAAAUUCAAAAAUAAUUUCCUUAUCUAAGAGCUUUGUUCUUAUACUUUGGUCAUCUACCCACAUGGGAUAGAUGGAGCUUAAAAAGGGGAUUCCAAGGAGAGCUUUCUCCUUAAGAUCCUUAACUAGAAUGAAGGUUUGCUUGAUGCAAAUGCCUUGGUUAUUUAUGUGAGCAUCUGACAGCUUAUACUCAAUGUCAAGCCUUUUACCAUUAGCUCCAAAGAGAGAUUCUUUGGUUUUCUUACAAAACUUAAUAGGACCUAGACCUUCUUGUAGGCAAUUCAAAGCUGUUCCUGAAUCAAUCAAAGCAACAAUAUCAAUGACAAAUUUACUCUUAAUUACUAUAGUAAGGGAGACUUUCCACCUCUGGAAAAUAACCCUACUAACAGUAUUUAAGUAUCCAUCCGUCUUUUCAUCAUUAGCAUGUGAAGAUUCUAGAACCUCUUCAAGGUUUUCCUAGUUAUCAACAAGAUUUUCUAUAACAAUCCUAUUUAUUUGUUCUUGGAGAUCUGAAAAACCUAAGCUUGUGUAUUGUCUUAAAUCUUUAAUUUCCUUCUUAUACUGUCUUACUUCUUCUUGAAGAUCCUUAAUGGUUACGUCUUUGGUAGACUACUGGUUAAAUCUUCCUAAGAUUUCAUUUAAGUUAUAAGAAUUUACUGUCUUCUUAAUCUCUUGCUUAUCGACAAAUUUCUUAAAAACUUCAUAAAGAUCUUGUUUAGUUUUUUCAUCUUCAACUUUCCUUAAAACAUCUAGGACAAGUUCUUGAUCUUGGCUUAUGACAUUUAUAGUCUUAGGUUGGCAAUCACAAUUAUCCUUAAUGUAUUCUUCUUGGUCACUAGAAGUUUGGCUUGAGAUUUCCUCACCACUACUAUCUAGUUGGUUAAUACCAUUUUCAUUAUCUGAAUCAAUCCUUGAUUCAGACUCUGUGGAAUUUAACAUUACUUUACAAAGCAUAUCUUUUAAGUCUUCUGUGACAUUUAAGUUAUUAAUUUUCUGCUUAACCCUACAAUCUUUCUUAUAGUGGCCUAUCUUACCACACUUAAAACAAACUGGCUUAGAUUGUGAAGGAGCUUCUAGCUUUUUAUGGGCUUCUUUGUUCAUCAUUCUUUGGAUGUGCCUUUGUUUCUUAGUUUCAUUCAUCCUAUAGUUGCCAUGAGUUCCUCUCUUGUUGUGAUAGGACUUUUCCUUACUAGGCUUUGUACUUACUUGUUUCUUACGUUGCUUAGAGGGGGGCUUAGUUUCUUUUUGGUUGAAUCCAAACUAGCUACAAAAUGAACCAAACUCAUUCUUGUAGAUCCUUUGUUCAUUUUUCAUCUGUUGCUUAAGCUUAAAGUCAUUGCACAGUUUAAUUGCUUCUGAUGUGACAAUGCUUAUAAUUUCUCCAUAAGAAAGCUUAUCAUAAGGGAUUUGUCCAUUAAACUGUUCCCUUAUCUUAAUCCUAAUCCUCUCAGAGAAAAGUCUAGGUAGUCCUAAGAUGAAUUUUUCUUUCCAAAAAGACUGGUUAUAGUUUGAUCUUAGUAUGACUUUGGUUAGGAAAACUUCUCUAUACCAUCUAAAGUCAUGAAGCUUGGGACACUUAAGGUUGGUUAAGAGAUCUACAAUCUUAUCCUUAAUCUUUGCAGGAUCUCCAAUGAAGUGCUUUGAAAUUGAAUAGAUUAGAGUAGCCACUACAUCCUCUAUAUCUUGUCCAUCUUCAUCCUUAACCACUUCAUUUUCCUCAUUAAUCCUAUAGGCUUUUAGGAUACCAUUUCUAUCCUCAAAGGUGAGAUAAUUAUCCCACCAACCCUAAAGUUGACCUGUAAACCCAACAACAAUUGUUUGAGCUACAGCAUGGCCUGACAAUCUAUUGUUUAACUUAUAGGUUGUACUAACCAUGGUCAUUUCUUGAAGCUUAGUGAGUAUGUUGUACUCAAUCAUACCAUCUAUGUUCCAUUCAUAGAUAGUGUCACUAGUGUAGGAAGCUUGAGUAUGCUGGUUUCUUUCCUCAUACUACAUAUCAGGAAAAGUUGGUCUAGGGUAGUAAUUCCUAGUUCUUGGUUGUUGAUAAUCCUCAUAACUGUUUGGUUAGGAGGUUCCUUAAAAAUCUUAAUUAGUUCAUCAGCCUCUGCUUCAGAACUAAUUUCUCCUUUAACCAUAUUGAUUCUCUUGUGAGAUGGUUGAGGUGUCUCAGAGACAACAAGGCUAUCCUUAACCUUUUGGCUUAUCCUAUCAAUGAGGGCUUGAUCAAUAUGGAGAUUCUCUAGGAAUUUCUUAGAGAAUUCAAAAGGCUUAAAUAAAGACUUAUUAUCUUUCUUAACAAACGUAGUCUUAAUGUAGUCUUGUGUUUCAAUGAUAUCCUCAAACUUGUUGAGUUGAUCGCCUGUAGUCUUAAGAAACAUGUUAGUGUAGUUGUUUUGUUCCAUGAUUCUUCUAACGUCAACAACACUAUCAAUUCCUUUAUUCUUUGGCCUAGUCUUAAAAGGUGAAGCUUUGACUAUGGUUCAAUUAAUGUUCUUUUAUAUCUUAGCUUCUAGAGGGUGGAUGGAUUCUAUGAUAGUAUCGUCACUAGUUUUCCAUAUCUUAGUUUUUUUGGAUGUGUCAUUGACACGCUUACUAGGGUAAUCUAGAUAUUCCUCUUGUUUGAAGAGUUCAAACCAGAUCCAAUACUUAAUGUUCUUCUUUUCUUGUCUUAAGUAUGUGUAGAAUUCUUCUUGGUAGAGGGUUCUAAUGUCUUUAAGGACCUUGCUAAAGAACCAAACUCUCCUUUUCUUAUUGACUUCAGAAUAGAAGUCUUUCCUUAAGAGGUCCUUGUUGAUUCAAAGUCUUCGUUAAUUAGGCUUACAGUGUUAAUCAACUGAGAAUAAGUAGGAGACAUAUCAGGAGAUUCGUCCUGAUGUGAUUCUUGAGUAAACUCAUUUUCCUCCAUGUAAAAGGGUUUGGCCACGUUGGUGUGACUUCUAACACCUGUUAGCUUAAUAUUCUUAGGAUUUGCUGAACUAGAUCCUUCCUCUAUCCUAGUGGUUCUUAUUGGGAUAGAUGAACUUGAAGCUCUAGAGGGCUCAUAAUAUGAAAUUCUAAGGCUGCUAGAAUGAUGAAAAGAGUUGGAGAAAAUUAGAUCUCGUUCUCCAUCAGGAUAUUGAACAAUCUGUUCAAUUCUUUCAGAUCUUUGCUCUAUGGCUGGGACAACAUUAGCAAAAUGCCAAUUUUCUGGAAACUCAACCUCAUUCCACUUGAUUUUCAUGGGGACUAUGAAAUUAGACUUGUUUAUCAUAUCUAAGUGGAAGAUAGUGGUUUCACCCUUGGGACUGGUGCACAAUGCUCCAAAUCCAACGCUUAUGGUCAUGCUCUUAUAGGCAAAUCUGGUGAUGAUGGAAACAUGAUUGUUUCCUUGCUUGAACUUAAAGUCAUGGGUCUUAACAUGAAGGACAACUGAAUCUAAGAUGUUGACAUCUCUUAGUCUAACUGUGAAGUUAGGGAAACACUGGAAAUAAACAGGACCAUCAUUUAAUCCUGCUUGGGUAGCUCCAAUAAUAGAAUCUCGGUAAUCAAGAUGUCUAUUAUCUCUUAAACACAUGACAAUAAAGGUGUUUAGACCUAGUCUUGUCAAGGGCUUAGCUGCAACUUGAAUCAUGCCAAAGUGUAUGAAGUUGUAGUCUCGCUUAUGCUUAUCAAUGGACUUACUAUCCAAGAGUCUUAUGACUUGAUCGUCGUGUUCUAAACUUACUGACAUUUCAGGGGUUUUAAUGGUGUAAUCUGUAAAGAACUUAAAGGUUCCUUUCUUAUAAAUUUCUUGAUUAGGUACCUUGGGUAACUUCCAAUCAUCUAAAUCAUCUUGGAUCUUAGGAUAAUUGAUCUCUUCAUUGUUUACUCUUGAGAAUUUGUGGAUUUCCUAGACAUGGUUCUGAAAAUCAAACUCAUUUUAAGGUUUUAAUCUAGAGCCUAAUAGCAGAUUAACAGACCUAGUGAGUAAUCACCCCAACCCUUUUCCAACCUUAACAAACGCCUAUCUCCAGCUAACAAUGGGCUCAACUCGGCAAGGAUCGCACUCAGGCACACUACUAUCUUUCCUAGGAUAGAUCAAAACACCCAAAACAAACCCGACUUCCUUUUCCUAGGAUAUAUAUAGUAUUUUGGGUUUGAGUAGGAGUUCAUGUUUUGUAUGUAAUUGUAGUCUACGUUGGACUAGGUUGUUUGCUCCUAAUUGAAAUAGGAAUGGUUGGUGUCACAUCUCAUUCAUUUUCUCAUCUAUUUCCAUGUUUAGAUAACUCAAGUAAUCAUAGGAAUGAAAUUAAGAAUGAUUUGAGGGAAAUGAAAUCUCACUUGUAAGUGGGAUCUCAAUUCAUCAUUAAUAGAAGGUAUUUUGAUUACAUAGUGCAAGUUAUUUUUAAAAACACUUUUCAAAAAUUGAAAAACCAAAAACUCUCUUGGAUAAGUUGUUUUUAAAAAGAAUUUUUGUAUUUUUAUUUUGUAAAAAAAAAAAAUAGUAAUUCAAUUUAUAUAAUAUAAAUAGACUUUAAUUUUAUUAAAAAUAAAAAUAAUUUUUUAAUUACAAAUAAAUUAAAAAAUAAAUAUUUGUAAUAAAAUAUGAAUAGUAAUAUUAUAAUAAAAUCAUAAAUAAAUUAAAAAUAUUUUUAAAAACAAAUAAGUUUAAUUUUUUUGAGGUACAAAUGAGCCAAAUUUUUCAUUAGGUACACAACCAACAAUUUUUAUUGGAAACAUUCCUCAAAAAAGAAUUCGUUUCCCAUAUAGCAAAGAUAUUUAUUAUUUAGUAUCUAACCAUCCGUAGUAAUCAUAUCAAUUCUACUAAGUUAUUUAAUAAUUCAUUUAUAUAUAGUACUCAAUUAUGAAUUUUUUUAUUUGAUGUAUAAUUAAUUAAUCAAUGUUUUGAAUUUUGAAUUAUUCUUAAAAUUUAAAACAUUAAUUAUGUCUAUUACUUUUUAUAGUCAUUAUAUAUAUAUAUAUAUAUAUAUAUAGAGAGAGAGAGAGAGAGAGAGAGAGAGAGCUUAAAUUUAUCUUUAAAAAUUAUUAAAUUUAUUAAUAAAUUCAAUACAAAGACUCAUUUGAUUUGAAAUUCAUUUCUUUAGUGAAAAUUUUGAAACUAAAUAGUACUUUGUUUUACUUUGUUUUUAAAUCAUACUCACAAAUAAGUUUUUAUCAUUUAGCCAAAAAAUCUCAAAGAUGUUUCUAAUUUUAUUUAUUUAUUUAUUUGUAAAUGAAAAUAAAAAAUUAGUUUAAACUAAAUAUGCGGAUAUUAUUGUUAAUUUAUUUCAUUUUUUAUUUCCAUUGUUAUUUAACAUUGAAACGGAAACAAAUAAUCAUUCCAAUCUUACAUUCUUAUAUGCAUCUAAACACAAGAAUUGAAAUCACCAAAUUCAUAUUCAAGGCAAAAUAGAAAUGGAAAAAAAAUAUUCAUUUUCAUUCCUCAUUCUCAUGUGCUAAACAUGACAUUAGUUCUACUACCUAUUUCACCAUUCUUCUUGAUAAAUUUGGUAUAUGCAAUAUUGAUCUAAGUGUGAGGUGAAUAAGAAUGAUGAUGGGAUGGGCUUGGAAAUAAGGGCAAAGUUUCUAGGUGCUAUCUAGAGGGGCAACGCGACUUUUUCAAAUUUCGAAUAUUUGUUCUCAACAUAAAGCAAAACUUUACUCACACAAUAGAUAAGACUCUGUUUGUUUUCUUCAUCCACGACUAUAUAAUGUAUAGCUCUUACUCAAGGGAUGAGCUACUUACUAUUAAGGAUUGGGUAAGAUAUUGCCUAAUGGCCAAGAAGGCAUGUCAAAAAAUAAAUCUAAUCACCAUAAAAAAUAAUAGGGGAAAAUUAAUAUAUUAUGAAUGAUGACUUUACUAUUUCUCUAUAUACAUAAUUAUAUAUUUUGAAUUUUCUCACUAGGUAAUGAGAUUCUAAAUCAACUGAAACAUAAUUAAUAAUUUAUAUUUUUAAUGAAUCUUUUAAUUUUUAAAAAUAAUUUAAAAUUUUAAAAAACAAUUCAAUUAAUUACAUAUUAAAUCAAAACAUUUCAAAAUAUUGUGUUUGUAGAUGAGUACUAAAUGCUUGCAUAUAAUAAUAAUAAUAAAAAAAUUGACUCAUUUAGAUGUUAAAAAAGUUAAAUGUUUUUCAUUAUUCAUUUUAAGUAAAAUAUUAUUGACAUUAUUAUUAUAAAAUUAUUAUUAUUCAUUUUUAACAAAAAACAAAAUAAGUUAUUCUUUUACCAAGAUGUCAAUAUCUAUAUUUUUCUAACAUAUAUUAAAAUAGUAUACUUUUCUUUUAUUAAAAAUAAUAAUUAUUAUUAUAUUAUUAUUCAAGUUUUAUUAAAAAAAUUUAUCUUUUAAUUCAUUUGUAAUUACAAAAUAAUUUUAUUUUAUUAAGAAUUUAAUUUAAUUACGCUUUUUUUUUUUAUAAAAAAAACAGUUAUGCUUUUACCAAGAUGUUAAUAUUCAUAUUUUUCUAGCUAACAUAAAUAGAAUAGUACACUUUUUCAUAUAAAAAAAUAAUUUAUGAUUUUAUUAUAAUGUUACUAUUCACAUUUUACUAAAAAUAUUUAUUUAUUUUAUUUAUUUUUAAUUAUAAAAUAAUUUUAUUUUCAAGAAUUUAAUUUUAAAAAAAUAGAAAUCAUUUAUUCUUUUACCAAGAUGUUAAUAAACAUAUUUUUCUAACAUAUACUAAAAUAAAAAAGUUUACUUGUUCAUUAAAAAAUAUAAUUUAUGUUUUUAUUAUAAUACUACUAUCUAUGUUCUACUAAAAAUAUUUAUUUAUAAUUAAAAAAUAAUUUCAUUUUUAAUAAGACUUGAACUAAAUUAAAUUUAUAAUUUUUUUUUAAAAUAAAAUAGAAAAUUAUUUUUUAAAAACAACUUAUUGAAAGAAAUUUUUUAUUCUUUACUUUUAAGAACUGUUUUUAAAAGCAACCUAUAAACCCCUUUGGGUCUGUUUGGCUAUGUUUCAUGCAACUUGUUUUUAAAAAUUGUUUUUUAUUCUUUAAUUUAAUUUUUUUUAAGUUAAAGAAUAAAAAACAACUUUCUAGUGUUUUAUAAAAAUGAGAGCUUUUGACAAGUUGUUUUUAAAAACCAUUUUUAAAAAUAAAAAAUAAAAAACUUAUUUAGAUAAAUUGUUAUAUAUAUAUAUAUAUAUAUAUUUGUAAAAACAUUUUAAAUUCAAUUUAUAUAAUAUAAAUUUAAUUUAAUUUAAGUCUUAUUAAAAAAAAAUUGUUUGGAUAAGUUUUUUUUUUUAAAUAGUUUAUUAUUUUUGUUUUGUAAAAACAUUGCAAAUUCAAUUUAUAUAAUAUAAAUUAAUUUAAUUCAAGUCUUAUUAAAACCAAAAUAAUUUUAUAAUUACAAAUAAAUUUAAAAAUAAUUUUUUUAGUAAAACAUGAAUAAUAAAAUUAUAAAUUAUAUUAUUGUGGACCCUGCAUUUAUGCUCAUGCGCUUCCACUUGUUGGCGAACUCAUUUUUUAUUUGAAAAUGAUUUAUUUUUUUAGAAAAUGACUUAGAGUCGCCACUUAUUUUUGUUUUAUUUUUAAAGGGCAAGCAAAAUAAGAAAGAAAACCCUAAGUGUGACUCCUUAUUCGAAAAAGGUAGUCUGUGUAAAACCGGAUCAGGGUUCAGGGAUCAGGUUACUUAUUGGGAAGGUAUGACAAUGACCGUAGCACUCCUCUAAGUCCUUAAAAACGGGCCUCUACUAAAAAAAAUAAAGUAAUCAUGGCAAUCAGUAAGGAAAUCACUGGAUACCCAGAACAAUUAUGCACAUGUGAGAAUUAAAACAUGCAUAAGAAUGGACAAAGUGAGAGUGGGUGCGUACCUUGACAACGAACCACAAUGCGUUAUCAAGAAAUGGGGUUAGUGCACGAUCAAUGAACAUAAAACACGUCACACAUGUCACUAAGCAGAGUGAGAAAUCAUCAGAUAUUACAAUUCAAUCAAAUUUAUUUUUAGAAGAAACAUCUGUUGAUGUAGAGCCCCUACCAAAGCCUAAUUUAUUUUUGCAUGAAUCAAUUUCAUAAAUUCAAUCGCUUGGAAUUACAGAAUUAAAUUCAUGCUUAUUUUAAAACAUCUUUUUAAAAUCAUGGAAGAUGUGAAAAUGGUUUUCCAAAGAGAAAAUGACAACUGAUUUUAUUGAAAAUGGGAUUUUGGGGACCUAAACGUUAAAGAGGGAUUAGGAAUUGAAAAUUAAAUCAUUUGAAAAUUGAAUUUUUCAAAAAUCAGUUUUGAAAGCAUGCAUGCAAGUAUGGACUGUGAAAGUGGGCCUAGGGAGGGUGGCCAUGCAAAAUGAGGUCAUACACGUGGGCCUUGGGUACAAUUGGGACUACUUUGCUGGUGCCAGUGGUGCUUGCAGCUGUCAUCCAUGAUUUCUUCAUUGGGAUCAAUUUCCAUUCUUACUGCCAAACAUUCCAUAACAAUUGACCAAACUAGUAACCCUGACCUUGCAUGAAAAUGAACGUUACCUAGAAACUCACUGCCAGUGAGAUUCAUUGCUCUUUCAAAAGGUCUCAUUUUCUUUCUCAUCCAAUUGCUUUAAGGAGCAUUCUAGCGUCACGAUUGGUGACUGCGCAUCAUCUAGAGCCUUCUUUCUUCUCAGAAUCAGGUUUGCGUGCAGAGGCCUGUGCUUGUUCAAGGUUGACCUAAAUUCAUCUAGGUUUAGAACCGACCAGUUGAGCUUGGGGAGCAACGACAAGAAUAUCAGUCACUUGCGAAGAGAAAACUCGAGAUCUUUCAAGUAAUGCCUGACAUAGAUUCCUCCAACCUGUGGCCAAUAUCUCAUUCCUUGUUGGCCAGACGCCUAUUAGGGCGUAUCUCAAUCAAUAAUAUGAUUUUUCGUUUGUUCACAAUAAAGACCGGAAGCCAUGGUUGUGAUUUAUGCAGUACAGAAGAAGUUGCCAUGGCUGGUAUCCUUACAAAUUCUGGUGUUUCUGCUAUCUGUUCAAGUGCAAAACACAACAGCUUUAUCAAGUUUGUCCCUAACAACUGAUAUUGAGCCCUCUGGAGGAAACCUUGAUAAAUUCAUAAUCACUUUUGACUCAUGCAUGGGCUGCCCAUCAAAUUUUCCUAGCAACGAGACGACUGCUGUCAUCUACUGCAAAGAGAAUUUCUUCUCGCAAAGACAAGAGGAGUUUAAGAAUACACACUAUUCUGCCAUUUCAUUUCCUCUUUCUCCACAACCAACAUAAACCAUAGUGUCUACAUUAGAGUACUUAGAAAGAGCUUAACUGAUGACCGUUUUUCCACAACCAAAUGCCCCAGGUAUGGCACAAAUUUCACCGAAAACAGAAGGGAAAAGGGCAUCAAGAACACGCUGUCCUGUAAGUAGUGGGGUAUCAGGACUACUCUAGGGAAGUUAUUUCUGUCAUUUUGAAAAAGAAAAAUUAAAGAAUGUACACAUGCUUUCAAGUGGACUGGAGCAUUCUACAUAUCAGGUGGUCUGUAGCCACAUGUGCCACUUUGUGGAAGUUGGAACAGUCGAUCACUAGGCUAUUUAGUGUGGCCAAGCCACGUUAAUCAAGGACAAGUCUUCAUACUUAAAAGUCAAAUGGUGCCUUUAGUCUCAUUACACAUGGCUAUUUAAAGAUGAACUAAUCUUUAGUGUAAUGUGAUUAAGACAGUACUAACUGAUCAAUAUUUUUUCUAAUUUUGGAUGCAAAUGCUUGCUGGCUUCAUCAUUGGAUGGGAUAAAGGUGCAUUCAUGACUCUGAAUACUUGCAGUAAUACUUGCAGUAAUACUUCAUUCUCUUUUUUCUCGAUGAGACUUCUUGGCACAAUUUUGCUUCUCAGCAACCUACCUCUCCAUGGAAAAUGAGUUGCGAUUGAUGGUACUGGAUAUUUUCUAGGAAGCUAAAUAUAGAUAUAUAGCACUCAAUGUCAACGAUAUAUAUAGCAUUAACAGUAUAUGUCUCAAUGCUCAUCAGCUACAAGCAAGGGACAAACACUUACAAUGAAUAACUCACGUCAACAUUCCUAAACAGGACAUAGAAGUGACAGAUCUAUAUAUAGAACACUGCAUAUGAGUCACAAGAAAAGAUAAUACGGGUGCAUAGCAGCUCUUAUAUUACAUAUUACUCAUACCGUUCAAAUUCACUCAGUUGGGAUGGGUGGGAGAAGGAGGCCUCUGGGGUGGCUUGUGCGUGUGAGAAGUGGAAGAAAGUUGAAUGGAAUGAAACUGAAAAACAGGGUAGAAUAGAGGUUUCUUGAAUCUUCUGAAAUCUUUAUUUUUCUGAGAUUUAUUCUCUGUUUUUGUGAGUCGUGACUCUACAUAUAUACAUGUAUUUAAAGUUAGUUAUGCCUUAUAACUAAUUAUCUAACAGUACCAAAACUAAUCAUCUAGUUGCAUGUUUCUAAUUAAUGCUAUUUAGUUACAACUAUAUAUGGCUUAACAUCCUCUCUCAAACUCAAAAGUCUAGCUAGAACAGUGAGUUUGCUUCAUAGAUUGAGAAAUUGUUGAAUAGGUAAGGCUUUGGUAAGAGCAUUAGCAAUCUGGUCAUAAGAAGGAAUGUGUUGAACCACCAAAGUCUUAUUGAGCACCUUUUCCUGAACAAAAUGGCAAUCUAGUUCCACAUGCUUAACUCGAGAAUGAAAAUAGGAUUGGCAGCAAGAAAGGUGGCUGAAAGAUUGUCAUAGAACAAAACAAAAUAGGAGAAUAAGAAGAUGAGAUAGAAAACUCCUGAAGAAGAUGUUGAAUCCAUUGAAGUUCAAAAGCAACAUUUGCUAAGGCCCUAUACUCAGCUUCAUUGCUGGAACGAGACACAACUUUCUGCUUACUGGAGUUCCAGGAGACUAGAUUAGAGCUAAAAAAGAUGCAAUGACCACUUGUACUUCGACGAUCAUCAGGGCAACCAACCCAAUCAACAUCAGCAUAAGCAGUAAGUUGAAAAUCAGGAGAAGAAUAAAAGGAAAGACCAAAGGAAGUAGUGCCCUUAAGAUAAUGCAACAAUCGUUUAACAACUUGCCAAUGAAGAUCAGUUGGUUAUUGCAUGAAUUGGCAAAGUUUAUUGAUAGAGAAAGAGAUGUCAGGCCUUGUAAUGGUACAAUAUUGCAGGGCUUCAACAAUGUUGCGAUAUUGAGAAGGGUCAGCCAAGAGGGAACCUUUAGAGGCAGAUAAAGUGUGAGAGGUAGUCAUUGGUGUAUCAAUAGGUUUAAAAUAUGGAAGACCAGCACGAGUUAACAAGUCCUGAAUAUAUUUGGUUUGGGAAAGAUGAAGAGAAGAUCCUUGCCAACAUACUUCUACACCCAAGAAGUAAUUCAGAAUACCAAGGUCCUUGAGAGCAAACUGAAAGUGUAAAGACGAAACCAUUUGGUGGACUAGCACGGUAUUAAGACCACUAACAAUAAUGUCAUCAACAUAGAUGAGAAUAAUGAUCAUGUCAGUCCCUUUCCGAAGAGGAGCUUGCUUCAGACCCUACAAGGCUUUGCGAAGUUUACAGAAAAAACCGGGUUUAGAAUGAUCAACAAAGCCUGGAGGUUGAACCAUGUAAACCUCUUCUUCUAACUCACCAUUGAGAAAGGCAUUAUUAACAUCUAAUUGUUCCACUAACCAACCAUGAGAAAUAGCAAGAGAAAGAACAAUUCAUAUAGUAGUUGGUUUAACAACAAGGCAAAAGGUUUCAAAAUAAUCAAUACCAUAUGUUUGAUUAAAACCCUUUGCAACUAAGUAGGCUUUAAAACGAUCAAUUGAGCCAUUAGCUUUGAGUUUCAGCUUGUAUAUCCAUUUACAACUAAUAAUGCGUGUAUUAACAGGUUUAGGAACCAAUGUCCAUGUGGAAUUGGUGAGAAGAGCAUCAUACUCAGUCUUCAUAGCAGCUUGCCAAUUAGGAUGCAAUAUUGCUUCUUUGAAAGAGGAGGGUUCGACAACAGUAGUUUGGAUAGCAAGGCUAAAUAUUUUUUUGGGUUUAAAAAUACCAUUUUGGCUACGAGUAACAAUAGUUCGGUUUGGAAGUGAAAGAGGAUCAGUGGAGGAGGCUGGAACAAGGGAUUGUGGUAAAGUAGGAAAGGAAGGUGGAUGAGAUGGAACAAAAUCAGUAGGGACAAUAAUGGGAGAAGAAAAAUUAGGUGGAGAAUGAUGAGGAUUCCUUGAAGAUGGUGUAGGAAUAGAGAGAAUACCAGAAUCAAGAAGUGUUAAAGAAGAGUUGGAUGAUGAUACUGGUUGACAGGAUAAAGACUUUGUUAAAAAUGGAAAUCGAGUUUCAUCAAAUACAACAUGACGAGAAGCAUAUAUCCGAGAGGAAGCCAUAUCCAAACAGAGGAAUCCCUUGUGUUUAGCACUAUAACCCAAAAAACAGCAAACAACAAAUAUAUUUGCUAGCUUGUGAGAAGCAUAAGGGCGAAGAUAAGGAAAACACAAGCAUCCAAAACUUCAAAGAGAUGUAUAAUAAGGUAAACGAUUAUAAAGAACUCCAUAAGGAGAAUUUUGUGAAAGAACAGCAGAGGGAAGGCAAUUUAUGAGAAAAAUGGCAGUUUGAAAUGCAAAUGACCAAUAUUUGAGAGGGUAUACCAGCUUGUAUUAACAAAGAAAGACCAACUUCCACAACAUGACGAUUCUUUCUUUCAACUCUUCAAUUUUGCUAAGGAGUAUAAUGACAAGAGACUUGAUGAAGAAGACCAUUUGUAGCCAAAUAAUUCUGAAAAGCUGAAACUGAAACUCAUCAAAUUGAUUUUUAGUAUCAAAUUUUCUUCAGACUGAACACAUUGAUUUUUAGUAUCAAAUUUUCUUUCAACCAUGGCUUGAAAAUGUUGGAACAUAAGUAAAGCUUCAUCUUUAGUUUCCAAAAGGUACAACCAUGAGAAUAUGCUAAAAUCAUCAAUUAGCAAGAGGAAAUAUUGAGCAUUACCAUUGACAGAAACUAUAGGAGUUGCACCCCAAAGAUCAACAUGGAUGAGACCGAAUGGUUUUAUUGCUCUAGAAGUGGAUAUUUCAAAUGGAAAACGAUGGCUUUUAGCCAACUGACAAGACUCACAUACAGAGUUAUUAUUGUCAUGUUUCAAAGGUAUUUUAUAAAGAGAUAAGAUUUUGGAAACUACAUUAAUAGAGGGAUGACCAAGUCUAUUAUGCCAAAGCCUCAAAGAACCAACGGCUAAAGUACUACUAGUAGAGUAAAAUACUAGUGGAUGACCAACAACUCUUGGUGUAGCAAGAAGUUUAUAGAGACCCUUCUCAAUUUUUCCUUGAAGAAGAGCAAGUCUCGUUUCCUGAUCCUUUACCACAAAAUGAGAAGAACGAAAUUCAAUAAAGGUGCCAUUGUUUGAGUAAAAUCGUUGCACGCUAACUAAGUUGGUGGUAAUAGAAGGAACAUGUAAGACAUCAUUGAAAAACAAAGAACCACUUGAAGAGGCAAGAGAAAAUUUACCAAUAUUUGCAAUGGAUAAACCCUUACCAUCUCCAACAAUUACUUUGUCACCACUGGUAAAUGGAUUAUGGAUUGUUAAAUUGUUAAGAUCAGAUGUGAGAUGAUGGGUAGCCUUUGUAUCAAGAAACCAAUAAGUGUCUCCCAUUGUUGCAGAAGUUGUAGUCAUAGCCUCAGGAUUGUUAGAGGUGGAAUGUUUAGAAUCUUUUGGCUGAUAAUCAGAGUUAAACCGAUACCAGCAUUGUAAAGCGGUGUGUCCGAACUUACAACCGAGAGAAAUAAUCUUUACUUAUUCUCUAAAAACUGUUCUUUAUUCCACACAUUAUUUCUAAAAACUGUUUCUAGAUAACAAUGACAAAAUAGUAUUAGGAAUUUUUAAAAAUAAAAAUUGUUUUUAAAUUACAUGAUCUAUAUCAUUCACAUUUGACCAUUAUAGCUUUGUUCAGGAAAACACUUGAAAGUAACCUUAUCGUGAUAAGAGAUAUAAGUUGGCUGUAGUUUCAAACUGAAAACAGAGGAUGGCAAUAGAAAGCAAAGCAUUAGUUAUCUGCAAUCAGUGGUGAUCAUGCCCCAUGUCAAUUUCGGACCCAUAUCUUAAAACCGUAUAAUUUGCAUUUCAACAUUUCUGAUUUCUCAGAUGUUUCAUACUCCACAGAAGAACAUUGUUUGUGAAAGCAUGCAUUUAUGCUGGAUUUUGGAUGAUGUGGGAACUGGGGCAAGGAUCAUAUGGAAGAGUGGUCGAUUUUUUCUGUACUUUAACAUUUGAAAUAGGAGCAGCACGGGCAUUUGUGGGGCUUAAUUGAUUUUGAAGCCUGAAAUUGCGUUUCUGUCAUUUUGUAAAAAAUAUGGCAGAUUCCAUGCUCUCAUAUGUUUGGUCUGUGGCCAUGUAUAGAUGCCACUUAGUGACCAGUUUGUAACUGUCAAUCAUAGUGUUUUGACUCUGGCUCAACAACAUCAGCCAUUGACGGAUUUUCAUACAUGCAAAUCAAAUAGUCUUCUUCCUCCCUUAGGAAUUUCGGUUUAAAUGUUAUUAAGCAUACAUUUGGCUGACAAUUAUUAACCACUUCAUGAUAUGGUUUCUUACCCUUAAUCAAUGGUUUCUAAGUGAAUAUAUGCAGAAGGAAAUCUGAACUGUAGACAGCAGUAUUGAUAAUUAUCAAUAUUCUUUAUAUAAGAGAAUAAACAACGUCAUAGUGAUCGUCGCCUACAAGAAAGGUACAUUUCCCAACAAGAUGUAGUUGUGACUGGUACAUGGACGUAAUUAACUCGUAGAAAAGGAUAAGACCAGUGCACGGCAGCUCUUAUUUUACAUGCUAAUUAUGCUAACCAAAGUCACUCAGUUGGGAUGGGAGGGAGAUGGAGGUUUGUGCGGUGGCUUGUGGGGCGGAGUUGGUGGCUUCUUUUCAGGAGCUUGUGGCUUUUUCGGAGCUGAAGGAGGCUCAAUCUUAUGAGGCGGCUUGUACGAGUCUUCUUUACUCUCGACAGGAGGGUGGCCAGGGUUGUGACCAUAAUGUGGUGGCUUCUCUCCCUUAGGUGGCUUGCCAACUGGGGUUGGUGGCUUGUGUUCAGGAAGUGGUUUCUCUCCCUUGGGAGGUUUACCAAUUGGGGUUGGUGGCUUGUGUUCUGGGAGUGGUUUCUCUCCCUUGGGAGGUUUAGUGGGUGACUUGUGUUCUGGAGGUGGCUUCUCCACCGGAGGCUUGUGCUCCGGUGGUGGCUUCUUGGUUGGAGGGGGCUUGGGGUAAUCAGCAAGAGAUGGGGGGGUGAGAACCACCACUCCAAGGAACAACACUAGCAAGUAUGUGGGAGACAUUUCUGAGUUUGAGCUGAUCAGAUGAUGCAAAACUAGAAGAAUUACGUGACCUUUUAUAGCAAGUAGCUCCCAAUACCCACAUGACACGUGUUACUGUGACCAUAAAUAUUAUAGGGUCCAUUUGUGCCCUACCGGGUUGAAAACUUGGACGCUUGGCCGAGGACACACCGAACUAUGGAGGACUAUUGACGUGUGAUCACAGCUUUUGGAUUUUUCUUCCUGUGCAGCUGUCUAGCGGUUGGCAUUAUUUUUUUAAUCUUAAAUAAAGGCAUAGUUAUAGAGUACAUUUAUAUAUCUUCAGAUAGCCAUUAAUAUAUUUGAUGAAGAAAGACAAGUGCAUACAACAUGUAUACGGCUUGCUUCAAUCGAGUACAUUUAUGAUCAGUUUUCCAGUGCAAGUAAACCAGUUUUUUGUUCCACAACUAUUUUGGAAUCUUGUUUAUCAGUUUCUAUCAUUAUAAUGUCACAUAGGCUGCAAACUUGGGCACCCAAAGAUCUAGUUGGGCAAAUUUGUUUCAGAAUUUCAAUGGUGGAUUCAGUAAUUGUUAAAAGGUGUUUCUUCAUUAAGGAAAGAGUCCUGUAAAAAUAUUGUUAAAAGGUGUCAUAGAAACUAUAAUAAUUAAAUAACUUCUUUUCCCCGUGGGUGGUGUUUCUUCUGGGGAUACCCAAAAUGAGUUCAGAUUAAAAUUGGUUCGAGUCAAAGCUGUCUCUUUUGUCCAGAAAUCAACUAUUUUGCGCAUUGCAUGAAUCGAUAAAGAAAAAAUGAAAGCCAAAUCACACCUCCCCUGCAAAACCUAAACCCCGGUUGCUAACUUUCUAUGUUUCAGUCCUAUUCAUACAGGAAUAUUGGUUCAAGUUUGAGAAAAAUGGCAACUUACCUAGGGAUUACUUGGUUGUGGUUUGCGACGACUAUUUACGCAACCAACCAUGAGUUUGACUUUAACGUCAUGGGUUGAAGCCUCCUACAAUCGUGUAUGAUAGUUCAAAGCUCGUAGUAGAAAUUAUACAGGAAGGAAGAAACCUCCAAAGCUAGCUCCAAAAGAGAAUUAUCACAUCGAUAGCUCCAGAGAUUCCCAAGGGGACUGAAUCAAAGACAAGUUCCUCACUUUUUCUUCUUUUGAGGCCAAAUAUGAACCAAGGAUCACACGACCUCAUUCAACUUCAUAAGUUUGAUUUCAUGCAGUUGAACACUGGGUGAAGGCCAUGACAAGAAUUGAUUAAAAAAUUCUACCACUGUUUUAAGUAAUGGAAGAUUAUUAUCUCUGAUUGGCACCACAACAGCACAUGCUGCUAGAUCUUUCUAGACACUCCAUGCAAUGAAAGUACAAUGGAUCUUGUAACGAUAGAAACUAAGCCAUGCUACAGUACUAGAUGACGAGGUAAAACUAUUAGACAUGGGUGGCAGCCUAUAUGGGAGGGACACAAGUCUAAUUGAUUUGCAUUUCAGCGUUCUAGAUGGGUAUGUUUUGGAAGAUUUGUUCUGGAAAUACCGCACCAAGUAGGAUUCUUUUUUCUCUUGAGUGGGUCCACUUGCAUGCCAAUUAUCGAGUUGAAAAGUAGAGCACCUACCUCGUGCUCGUGGAACCGAAGGUCAGUGAAGUGGGGCUCCUUUUGGCCUCUUGUGUUUCUGUUCCAACCAAGGCGGCGGAGGGAAAAACAGCAAUAUGUCUCCGCUAAAUAUCAACGCAUGAUAGCGAAUGAGGGAGAAAAAAAGUAAUUGGCAUCUCAAUCUCACAAACUUGGUACAGUAGUGACAUUAAUAGUCUUCCACAUGGUUUUUAUUUUAUUUUAUUUUAUAUUUUAUAUUUUCCAUUUUUUUAUUUUUUUGUAUGUCAAGGCUAAUGAAUAAAAUGCGUUAGCUUGUUUUGUGAUUGGAACUGCAAAUGUCCAAAUUGGAGUUUCUCCAUUUCUCAGUUCGGAUGGUUAACUUUAUAAACAAGAUAUAGGAAACAUGUGAACGUCUUGAGGAACAAUUCGAAUUAUUGAUUAGAACUCCUAGGUUGAGUUCCAAGAUUUAAAUCAGACCCCUCUAGCAGCUUCAGGGGUACCUAGCAAUUAGAACAUAUUAAUGAAGAUUUAGGAUUUAGACUCCGGAAUACAAAUUAAUAUGUAUCUUAUGCUCUGACUAGCUUCCCUGCAUAUGCACAAAAUGGAGAUGACCCAAAAAAUAGCAGAAUCGCCUUAGUUUAUGUGGUUAAGGUGAUUCUCCGGUUAAUAUCCACAUUGGCUCAUUAUGCAAAUCAACUGAGCUAUUUUUUUUUUAAUGUCAAAUAGGAACUCCUAAUUAACCUAACCAUUGGCCUGUGUAAAUUGAUUUCACAUGCACAAUGUUGUAGUAGAAGUCCACAUUUUGAAUUUUAUUUUUGGAAAGGUAAGGAAAAUGAAGCAUUGUGUAAUUAUAAAAAUAACUUCAUUGGAAUUCACAAGGUUCACCCAAAAUGGAGCUACAUCCGUAUUCUAUCUUACAGUAGACUAUAUAGAUUGUACAAUAGUAAAUUGCAAAUACAAUUAAUAAGUCUUGUGUUUCCUUACUAAUAAUCCUUUGACAUAAACAUUGCAGCACUAAGGUCCUCUUGGGCAGACACCUUGCACCCAUGAGAGCACUAAGAGGAAGCAAGGCGGAGUCAUGGGUGCAAUGUCAUGACUUGUUGCACUAAGAGAGGCUUGGUGAUGGCAUAGUGCUGCAGUAGCAAGAAUGUUGCCUUGGCAGGGACACGAUCUAGGGACAGAUGCCAAGAAAGGCUUAGCACUCACAUGAGUUGCACAAAGAUGAAUGAAAUAGAACAUCAAAGAGACAUCUUGGCAAGCUCAAGAAAGACAUGUGGGUUGGUAAAUGAAUGGAUGCAAGAGGCAACAACAUGAGGAGUUUCAAAUGGAUAGGGAAUGAGUCAAAGACAUUUGAAAGCUACAAGUUGGAUUCUAAUUACGAUUGCAAUUUGAGUUUGAGUAGGAGUUUAUAUUAUGAUUGUAAUUGUAGUAUGAGUUGGACUAGGAUUGCUUAUCCCUAGUCAAAAUAGGAGUUGUUCAUGCCACACCCUAUGAAAAGAGUUUGAGUAGGGACUAGGAUUGCUUGCUCCUAGUCAAAUAUGGAGUAGGUGGUGCCACACCUAUAAAAAAAAAAGGGACAACAUGAGAGAGAGAGAGAAUGAAUUCACCAAAGAUAUUGUGGGAGUUUUGCUUUGUUACAUCUUGUAUUAUUAUUUAGAAUAGUAAUAAAAUACAAGUUGGGGCUAGAGCCCCAUAAUCUCGUGUGCCUUUGUGGGUUAUUCUUUAUUUGCCAUCUCGUGUGGAUUGGAUUAGAUUGAUGAGGCGAAAUAUUAUGUGGGAAAUUUAUGUUGGGACACUUACCAUAACCAGGUAAAAUCUACCAAGUCUUUUGUAAUAUCUUCUACAAAUAUUUUAGACCAGUUCUUCACAAAACAUCAUAAUAUGUUUUGUGUUUCUCUUGGAUUUUGAGUUGAAUUGUCUUAGAUCAAUUGAAUGCAUCUCAAUAUUAUUAUCUUGUUUGAAGGCUUGAUGAUUUUCCAUUUAACUUUACUUUCUUUAGGUUAUGCUUGAUUCCUUAAAAGUACUAAGGAAAACAAAAAAUAAAAAAAAAUAAAAAAUGCAGAGGGUUAGGACAUGUGUUAUCUAAUUGUCCUAUCCAAAGAUAUUAAGAAAGUCAUGUAGGAAAGUAAUUGAAAACUAGGUCAAGAAAGGAGCAAAAGGGAAUUGUUUUGGUAUUUUCUUUUUUAUUCUUGAAGGUGGCAGAGCUAAAAUUUGAGAAAUCAAGCAAAACAUACUGAAAUUACAUUGAAAGAAAGAAAAUGGUAGUUAAUGUCUUGCAGUACAUGAUAAGGACUUCAUGCAUGUAGUGUGACGACCCAUGUCUUGGACUGAUGCCACACUCACGGUUACACUUAUACCCUUGGUUCUCUCUUUACUACCUUGGCUAACCUAGAUCAGGCUAUGAGAUAGGCUCCUCACCAC